GCAACACAACGUAAACAGCCCCUGCACACUGAUAACAAAUCCCCCCAACCCGACAUGUUAAACGGGGUUGUCAAUCCCUUUCGGGUAACGGUGCCAGAAAUUGGUGUGUGGUGGUAAAAAGGUUGUAAUAGAUUGGAUAAAUAAAUCGCAAAUAAAAUAAAGUGCAGCAAAGUAUUUUUGGGUUUUUGGAUUAAUAGAUCUGAAAAUAAAUGCAAAUAAAAGUAGAUCGCAAAGGCAAAUAAUAUGAGAAGAAAGACCCAGGGGCCAUAGGUUUCACUAGUGGAUUCUCUCGAGAAAGAUAACAAAUGGUGGGUGAACAAAUUAUAGUGGGGCAAUUGAUAGAACUUGAGAUAAUUAUGACGAUAUCUAGGGAAUGAUCAUUAUAUAGGCAUCACGUCCAAGAUUAGUAGACCAACUCCCGCCUGCAUCUACUACUAUUACUCCACACAUCGAUCGCUAUCCAGCAUGCAUCUAGUGUAUUAAGUUCAUGGAGAAGCGGAGUAAUGCAAUAAGAACAAUGACAUGAUGUAGACAAGAUCUAUCUAUGUAGAUAUAGACCCCAUAGUUUUAUCCUUAGUAGCAACGAUACAUACGUGUCGUUUCCCUUUCUAGCACUGGGAUCAAGCACCGUAAGAUCGAACCCACUACAAAGCACCUCUUCCCAUUGCAAGAUAAAUAGAUCAAGUUGGCCAAACAAAACCAAAAUAUCAGAGAAUAAAUAGGAGGCUACAAGAGAUCAUGCAUAUAAGAGAUCAAAGAAACUCAAAUAACUUUCAUGGAUAUAAAAAGAUAGAUUUGGUCAUAAACUCAAAAUUCAUCGAUCCCAACAAAUACACCGCAAAAGAGUUACAUCAUAGGGAUCUCCAAGAGACAAUUGUAUUGAGAAUCAAGAGAGAGAGGGAUGAAGCCAUCUAGCUACUAACUACGCACCCAAAGGUCUACAAAGAACUACUCACGCAUCAUCGGAGAUGCACCAAUGAAGGUGGUGAACCCCAUCCGAGAUGGUGUCUAGAUUAGAUCUGGUGGUUCCAGACUCUGCGGUGGCUAGAUGAAUAUUUCGUCGAUGCCUUUAGGGUUUCUGGAAUAUUGGGGUAUUUAUAGAGCAAAGAGGCGGUCUGGGGGUUACCCGAGGUGGGCACAACUCACCAGAGCGCGCUUGGGCCUCCUGGCGCGCCCUGGUGGGUUGUGCCCCCCUCGGGGCACCCCCUAGGCGCAACCAGGGCCCGUUGUGUUCCUUCUGGCCCAUAAAAAUUCUCCGUAAAGUUUAGGGGCGUUUGGACUCCGUCUGAUAUUGAUUUUCUGCGAUGUAAAAAACAUGGAAAAAACAGCAACUCGCACUUGGCACUAUAUCAAUAGGUUAGUACCAAAAAAUUAUAUAAAAUGACUAUAAAAUGAUUAUAAAACAUCCAUGAUUGAUAAUAUAAUGGCAUGGAACAAUAAAAAAUUAUAGAAACGUUGGAGACGUAUCAAGCAUAUGAGAUGUUCCAAGAGCUGAAAUUGGUAUUUUAGACUCAUGCCCGUGUGGAGAGGUAUGAGACCUCUGACAAGUACUUUUCCUACAUGAUGGAGGACAAUAUCUCAGUCAGUGAGCAUGUACUCAGAAUGUCUGAAUACUACAAUCGCUUGAAUCAAGUGGGAGUUAAUCCUCCAGAUAAGAUAGUGAUUGAUAGAGUUCUCUAGUCACCAUCACUGAGCUACUAGAACUUCGUGAUGAACUAUAAUAUCCAAGGGAUGACAGAAAAGAUUCCCGAGCUCUUCAUGAUGCUGAAAUUGACAAAGGUAGAAAUCAAGAAAGAGCAUCAAGUGUUGAUGGUUAACAAGAUCACUAGUUUCAAGAAAAAGGGCAAAGGAACAGAAAAGGGAACUUCAAGAAGAAUGACAAGCAAGUUGCCACUCCCAUGGAGAAGCCCAUAGCUAGACCUAAAGCCUAAAACUGAGUGAUUCUACUGCAAAGGGAAUGGUCACUGGAAGCGGAACUACCCCAAAUACUUGGCGGAUAAUAAGGAUGGCAGGGUGAACAAAGGUAUAUUUGAUAUACAUGUUAUUGAUGUGUACUUUACUAGUGUUCAUAGUAACCUCGGGGUAUUUGAUACCGGUUCAGUUGCUAAGAUUAGUAACUCGAAACAGGAGUUGUAGAAUGAACAGAGACUAGUUAAGGGCGAGUUGACAAUGUGUGUUGGAAGUUCCAAGGUUGAUAAGAUCACCGCCGCACACUCCCUCUACCUUCGGGAUUAGUGUUGAACCUAAAUAAAUGUUAUUUGGUGUUUGCGUUGAGCAUGAAUAUGAUUGGAUCCUGUUUAUUGUGAUACGGUUAUUCAUUUAAGUCAGAGAAUAAUUGUUGUUCUGUUUACAUGAAUAAAACCUUCUAUGGUCAUACACCCAAUGUAAAUGGUUUAUUGAAUCUCGAUCGUAGUGAUACACAUAUUCAUAAUAUUGAUGCCAAAAGAUGCAAAGUUGAUAAUGAUAGUGCAACAUAUUUGUAGCACUGCCGUUUAGGUCAUAUUGGUGUAAAACGCAUGAAGAAACUCCAUGCAGAUGGGCUUUUGGAAUCACUUGAUUAUGAAUCAUUUGAUACUUGUGAACAAUGCCUCAUGGGCAAGAUGACUAAAACUCCAUUAUCCGUAACAAUGGAGUGAGCUAAUAACUUAUUGGAAAUAAUACAUACCGAUGUAUGUGGUCCGAUGAGUGUUGAGGCUCAUGGCGGGUAUCGUUAUUUUCUGACCUUCACAGAUGAUUUGAGCACAUAUGGGUAUAUCUACUUGAUGAAACACAAGUGUGAAAGAUUUGAAAGGUUCAAAGAAUUUCAGAUUGAUGUUGAUAAUCAUCAUAACAAGAAAAUGUUUUCUAUGAUCUGAUCGCGGAGGCGAAUAUUUGAGUUACGAGUUUGGCCUUCAUUUAAAACAAUGUGGAAUUGUUUCACAACUCACACCACCUGGAACACUGAUGUCGCUUGAAGCUACGUCUGUAUUUCCCAAAAGAGGAAGGGAUGAUGCAGCACAGCGGCGGCAUGUAUUUCCCUCUGAUAUGAAACCAAGGUUAUUAAACCAGUAGGAGAACCAAGAAACACAAUGCAAACAGCCCCUGCACACAAAUAACAAAUCCUCGCAACCCGACGUGUUAAAAGGGUUGUCAAUCCCUUUCGGGUAACAGUGCCAGAAAUUGGUGCGUGAUGGGAAAAAGGUUGUAAAUAUUGGUAGACCGAACGCCAAAUAAAAUAAAUUGCAGCAAGGUAUUUUUUGGGUUUUUGGAUUAAUAGAUCUGAAAAUAAAAGCAAAUAAAACCAGAUCGCAAAGGCAAAUAUAUGAGAAAGAAGACCCGGGGGCCGUAGGUUUCACUAGUGGCUUCUCUCGAGAAAAAUAGCAAACGGUGGGUAAACAAAUUGCUGUUGGGCAAUUAAUAGAACUUCAAAUACUCAUGACGAUAUCCAGGCAAUGAUCAUUAUAUAGGCAUCACGUCCAAGAUUAGUAGACCGACUCCUGCCUACAUCUACUACUAUUACUCCACACAUCGACCACUAUCCAACAUGCAUCUAGUGUAUUCAGUUCAUGGAGAAACGAAGUACUGCAAUAAGAACGAUGACAUGAUGUAGACAAGAUCUAUAUAUGUAGAGAUAUAUCCCAUCAUUUUAUCCUUAGUACAAACGAUACAUACGUGUCGUUUCCCAUUCUGUCACUGGGAUCAAGCACCGUAAGAUCGAACCCACUACAAAGCACCUCUUCCCUUUGCAAGAUAAAUAGAUCAAGUUGGCCAAACAAAACCCAAAUAUCAGAGAAUAAAUAUGAGGCUAUAAGCAAUCAUGCAUAAAAGAGAUCAUAGAAAAUCAAAUAACUUUCAUGGAUAUAAAAAGAUAGAUCUGAUCAUAAACUCUAAGUUCAUCGGAUCCCAACAAACACACCGCAAAAGAGUUACGUCAUAUGGAUCUCCAAGAGACCAUUGUAUUGAGGAUUAAGAGAGAUAGAUAGAUAAAACCAUCUUGCUACUAACUACGGACCCGAAGGUCUACAAAGAACUACUCACGCAUCAUCGGAGAGGCACCAAUGGAGAUGGUGAACCCCAUCCGAGAUGGUGUCUAGAUUGGAUCUGGUGGUUCUGGACUCUGCGGUGGCUGGAUGAAUAUUUCGUCGAAGGGUUCUAGGAUUUUUGGGGUAUUUAUAGAGCAAAGAGGCGGUCUAGGGGGCACCCGAGGUGGCACAACCCACCAGGGCGCGCCUGGGCCUCCUGGCGCGCCCUGGUGGGUUGUGCCCCCCUUGGGGCACCCCCUAGGCGCAGCCAUGGCCCGUUGUGUUCCUUUUGGCCCAUAAAAAUUCUUCGUAAAGUUUCAUGAUAUUUGGACUCCGUCUGAUAUUGAUUUUCUCAAUGUAAAUAACACGGAAAAAACAGGAACUGGCACUUGGCACUAUGUCAAUAGGUUAGUAGUAAAAAAUAAUAUAAAAUGACUAUAAAAUGAUUAUAAAACAUCCAAGAUUGAUAAUAUAGCAACAUGAAACAAUCAAAAAUUAUAGAUACGUUGGAGACGUAUCAGCAACCCCAAGCUUAACUCCUACUCGUCAUCGAGUAGGUAAGUGAUAAAAACUAAAUUUUUGAUGUGGAAUGUUGCCUAUCAUGUCAUAUCAUAUUCUUUUCUUUAUAUCAUGGAUAUUUGGACAUUUAGUUGUUCAAAGCAAUAGUCUAGCUUUGACAUGAUAAUUUAGAUACUCAAGCAUAUCAACAAGCAACCAUGUCUUCCAAAAUAUCAACGCUAAAAUAAGUUAUCCCUAGCCCAUCAUCCUCAAACAUUGAUCCAUUCAUGAAACACACUCGAAUAUUAGCUACACCCAAUACUUAAGUACGAUCAUAUUGCCUCCUAGUUGGUGCUUUUAUAAGAGAAGAUGGAGACUCAAAAUAAAAAUUGCAUAAAGUAAAAGAAAGGUCCUUCGCAAAGGGAAGUAGGGAUUUGUAGAGGUGCCAGAGCUCAAAGCAAAAAACUUAGAGAUAAAAAUAUUUUGAAAGGUGUAUCCAUCCCACCAAUGAAAACGACUUAGAGUUCACAAUACUUUCAAUGCAUAGAUAAAUCAUAGGCGGUUCCCAAACAGAAAAUAAAGUUUAUUCCUUUUUCCACCAUACUUUCACUUUCCAUGGCUAAUCGUAUCCAUAGGUGCCCUCGAUACCAACACUUUCCAAGGAAUUUAUUAUUUGACGACAUAGAGUAAAUUCAAUUUUUUUUUGCAUUUCGGGACUGGGCAUCCCUAAUACCUUUGCCUUACUCUCGUGCAAUGAAAAGUGAAUAAACUCUCAUCGUGAGAAUAACACAUCUAACAUGGAAAACAUUAGCCACCCCUCAUCGCUCCGCGAGCGAAACAAACACACAAAAGAGAAGUUUGUUUUGAAAAUUAGAGAUGGCACAUGAAAAUUUCCAUAGAAUGGCAAAAGAAUACCGCAUAUAGGUAGAUAUAGUGGACUCAUGUGGCAAAACUAGGUUAAAGGUUUUUGAAUGCACAAGUAAUGAUCAUACUUAGUGCAAAAUGAAGGCUAGCAAAAGGAUUGGGAAGCGACCAACUAAGAAACAAAUAAUUGCAUAAGCAAGCAUUAAGCAUAAAUAACACUGAAUAAUGCACCAUAAGUAGGAUAUAAUUUCAUUGCAUGACUAUUGACUUUCGUACUUGCAUAGGGAAUCACAAACCUUAACACCAAUAUUCUUACUAAAGCAUAAUUACUCACCAGCAUAACUCACAGAUCACAUCAUCAUAUCUCAAAAGUAUUACUAAGAAUCAAGUUUAUUUUGUCCAAUGAUCUUCAUGAAAGUUUUUAUUAUAUCCUUCUUUGAUAUCUAUCACUUUGGGACUAAUUUUCAUGUGUUGCUUUUGACAAGCUCCAACAAAUAUAAGUGAAGAUCAUGAGCAUAAUAUAUUUUUUCUUUCUCUCAAAUUAAUUUAAGUGAAGCAAGAGAGAAUUUCUUGAAAAUUUUACUAACUGUCAAAUAAAUCUAAGUGAAGCAAGAGAGCAUUUCUUCAAAAAUACUAAAGCACACCGUGCUCAAAAAGUUAUAAGUGAAGCACUAGAGCAAGUCCAUUGCUCAUACAAAUUUAAGUGAAGCAUAGAGAGCAAUUCUAACAAGUCAUGACAUUAUUUUGGCUCUCUCAAAUAGGUGUGUCCAGCAAGGAUUGAUGACUUAAAACACAAAAUAAAACAAGUAAAGAUUCAUAUCAUACAAGACGCUCCAAGCAAAACACAUAUCAUGUGACGAAUAAAAAUAUAGUUUUGAGUAAAAUACCUAUGAUCGUUGGAAGAAAGCGGGGAUGCCACUCGGGGGCAUCCCCAAGCUUAGUUGGUUUCUCAUUUUUGUAUAAUAUCUUGGGAUGCCGGGGAGUCCCCAAGCUUAGGCUCUUCCAUCCUUCCUUCAUCCAUCGUAAGAUAACCCAAAACUUGAAAACUUUAAUCACACAAAACUCAACAAAACCUUCGUGAGAUCCGUUAUUAUAAGAAUAAUAAAUCACUACUAUAAGUACUGUAUCAAACCAUUUCAUAUUUUGUUUUUGUAUUAUAUCUAUUGUCUUCCAACUUUUCCCUGGCAAAAACUCAUCAAAGAAAACCAUAGAGCCAUCAAAAUUAGCACACAACACAAAGAAAACAGAAUCUGUUAAAAUAGAAAAGUCUGUAGCACUCUGACUAUUUAGAAUACUUCCAUAACUCCAAAAAUUCUGAAAAAUUAGGACGACCUGAGCAAUUUGUAUGUUGAUCUAUUGCAAGUGGAAUGGGUAUUUUAUCCUCUAGGGUAAAAAAUCAAAAUUAAUUUCAUGACCGUAAAAGUUUCUGUUUUUUCAGCAAGAUCAAACAACUAUCACCCAAGAAGAUCCUAAAGGCUUUACUUGGCAGAAACACUAAUUAAAACAUAAAAAACACAAUCAUAACAUUAGAAUAAUUGUGUUAACACACAAAAAUAGGAAGCAAAAAUCAUAAAUAAAUGUUAUUCAUUGGGUUGCCUCCCAACAAGCGCUAUAGUUUUACGCCCUUAGCUAGGCAUAAAGCAAGGAUCUAAGUUCUGUCAUCCUUGUUCUUAACUUUCUUAGAUGUACUUCCAUCAUGGGGUUUUGUAAACACAACAUAAAACAUGUUAUCCAUAGAGGCCUUAGCAAUCCAAGUUGGUUUUCAUCAUACCCCUUUUGAUUUCUCGCAACAAUCCAAGAGUAAUGUUGAUUAAAAUUAUUGAAAACUUGUUGGAUUAUAUCUAGAACUAGGACUUACUUUUUUAAGAUUCUCAUCAAAGAUUUUAUUGCACCCAAGCAAAUGUCUUAAAGCAUAGUCACUAUUGUAAAGAAUUUCAUCUAUCACAGGUUUUACACGAUUCAUACCAGAAAAGUCAAAUAUUUCCCUAGCUUCUCGAAUUAUGUAAGCAAACUCAUUCAUGAGAACAAGAGUAGCCAACUUUUUAGCUCUAGGAUUCUUUAUAACGAGGAGCUCAAAAAACAAUCUUUGCAAACUAGGAUGGGUACGAAUAAAUUUACUUUCAAGUUGCAGAACUAGUGCUAAAAUAGCAUCCGCAUAAGAUCUAGUAGUUUUAAGUAUAGGGGCAUCAUCAAGACUUAGCUUCUGAACACAAUUGAAAAAUUCUUGGAUACUUUCUUUUCCCAUGACGUUCCCUUGCCCCAAGAUAAAAGUUUUAGCAUUCAGAUUGCACGUACGUCCAAUUUUAGGAGUUAGGCCAUCAUCUGUUGGUGCCAUACCAAAAUCACUCAUGAUUGCAAACAAAUGAUAGAUCUGACAAGAAAUCGGCGAACAAAAAAGAGAGGCGAAUUAAAUGGCAAAUUUUUGUGAAGUGGGGGAGAGGAAAACGCGAGGAAAAUAGCAAAUAAUGUAAAUUCCAAGGAGAUGAGAUUUGUGAUUAGGAACCUGGUAUAUGUUGAAGAUCCUCCCCGGCAACAGCGCCGGAAAUUCCUUUUGAUGUCGCUUGAAGCUACGUCGGUAUUUCCCCAAAGAGGAAGGGAUGAUGCACCACAUCAGCGGUAGGUAUUUCCCUCAAAUAUGAAACCAAGGUUAUCGAACCAUUAGGAGAACCAAUCAACACAAUGUAAACAUCCCCUGCACACAGAUAACAAAUCCUUGCAACCCGACGUGUUAAAGGGGUUGUCAAUCCCUUUCGGGGUAACGGUGCCAGAAAUUGGUGUGUGACGGGAAAAAGGUUGUAAAUAUUGAUAGAUGGAACGCCAAAUAAAAUAAAUUGCAGCAAGGUAUUUUUGGGUUUUUGGAUUAAUAGAUCUGAAAAUAAAAGAAAAUAAAAAUAGAUCGUAAAGGCAAAUAUAUGAGAAAGAAGACCCGGGGGUCGUAGGUUUCACUAGUGGCUUCUCUCGAGAAAAAUAGCAACGGUGGGUAAACAAAUUAAUGUUGGACAAUUGAUAAAACUUCAAAUACUCAUGAUGAUUUCCAGGCAAUGAUUAUAUAGGCAUGACAUCCAAAAUUAGUAGACCGACUCCUGCCUGCAUCUACUACUAUUACUCCACACAUCCCGCUAUCCAACAUGCAUCUAGUGUAUUAAGUUCAUGGAGAAACGGAGUAAUGCAAUAAGAACGAUGACAUGAUGUUGAUAAGAUCUAUCUAUGUAGAGAUAGACCCCAUCAUUUUAUCCUUAGUAGCAAUGAUACAAACGUGUUUUUUCCCUUACUGUCACUAGGCUCAAGCAUUGUAAGAUCGAACCCACUACAAAGCACCUGUUCCCAUUGCAAGAUAAAUAGAUCAAGUUGGCCAGACAAAACCCAAAUAUCGGAUAAGAAAUACGAGGGUAUAAGCAAUCAUGCAUAAAAGAGAUCAAAUAAACUCAAAUAACUUUCAUGGAUAUAAAAAGAUAGAUCUGAUCAUAAACUCAAAGUUCAUCAGAUCCCAACAAACUCACAGCAAAAGAGUUACAUCAUAUGGAUAUAAAAGAGACCAUUGUAUUGAGGAUAAAGAGAGAGAGAGAGAUGAAGCCAUCUAGCUACUUACUACGGACCCGAAGGUCUACAAAGAACUACUCAAGCAUCAUCAGAGAGGCACUAAUGGAGGUGGUGAACCCCAUCCGAGAUGGUGUCUAGAUUGGAUCUGGUGGUUCUGGACUCUGCGGCGGCUGGAUGAAUAUUUCGUCGACUCCCCUAGGGUUCUGGGAUUUUUGGGGUAUUUAUAGAGCAAAGAGGCGGUCCGGGGGGCACCCGAGGUGGGCACAACCCACUAGGGCGCGCCUGGGCCUCCUGGCGCGCCCUGGUGGGUUGUGCCCCCCUCGGGGCACCCCCAGGCGCAGCCAGGGCCCGUUCUAUUCCUUUUGGCCCAUAAAAAUUCUCCGUAAAGUUUCAUGGCAUUUGGACUCCAUCUGAUAUUGAUUUUUUGCGAUGUAAAAAACACGGAAAAAACAGGAACUGGCACUCGGCACUAUGUCAAUAGGUUAGUACCAAAAAAUGAUAUAAAAUGAUUAUAAAACAUACAAGAUUGAUAAUAUAAUAGCAUGGAACAAUAAAAAAUUAUAGAUACAUUGGAGACAUAUCAAACACCACAGCAUAAUGGUGUGUCUGAAUGUCGUGACCACACUUUAUUGGAUAUGGUGCGUUCUAUGAUGUCUCUUACCGAUUUACCAUUAUCGUUUUUGGGUUAUGCAUUAGAGACAGCCACAUUCACGUUAAAUAGGGCACCGUCUAAAUCCGUUGAGAUGAGACCGUAUGAACUAUGGUUUGGCAAGAAACCUAAGUUGUCUUUUCUUAAAAGUUUGGGGAUGCGAUGCUUAUGUCAAAAGGUUUAAGCGUGAUAAGCGAACCCAAAGUGGAGAAAUGUGUAUUAAUAGGAUACCCUAAGGAAACCAUUGGGUACACCUUCUACCACAAAUCCGAAGGCAAGAUCUUUGUUGCUAAGAAUGGAUCCUUUCUAGAGAAGGUGUUUCUCUUGAAAGAAGUGAGAGGGAGGAAAGUAGAACUUGAUGAGGUAAUUGUACCUUCUGUCGAAUUGGAAAGUAGCACAUCAGAUAAAACUGUUCCCAUGAUGCCUACACCAACUAGAGAGAAAGCUAAUGAUGAUGAUCAUGAAACUUCAGAUCAAGUUACUACUGGACCUUGUAGGUCGAACAGAGCACGUUCCGCACUAGAGUGGUACAGUAAUCCUAUCUUAGAAGUCAUGUUACUAGACCAUGGCGAACCUACGAAAUAUGAAGAAGCUAUGAUGAGUCCAGAUUCCGACAGAUGGCUUGAGGCCAUGAAAUCUGAGAUAGGAUCCAUGUAUGAGAACAAAGUGUGGACUUUGGUGUACUUGCCCGAUGAUUGGCAAGCCAUUGAGAAUAAAUAGAUUUUCAAGAGGAAGAUGGACGCUGAUGGUAAUAUCACUAUAUACAAAGCUCGACUUGUCACAAAAAGUGUUUUCGAUAAGUUCAAGGAGUUGACUACAAUGAGACUUUCUCACUCGUAGCGAUGCUCAAGUCUGUCUGAAUCAUGUUAGCAAUUGCCACAUUUUAUGAUUAUGAAAUCUGGCAAAUGGGUGUCAAAACUGCAUUCCUUAAUGGAUUUCUUAAAGAACAGUUUUAUAUGAUGCAUCCAGAAGGUUUUGUCGAUCCUAAAGGUGCUAACAAAGUGUGCAAGCUCCAGCGGUCCAUCUAUGGACUGGUGCAAGCAUCUUGGAGUUGGAAUAUAUGCUUUGAUGAGGUGAUCAAAACAUAUGGUUUUAUACAUAAUUAUGCUGAAGCAUGUAUUUACAAGAAAGUGAGUGGGAGAUCUAUAGCAUUUCUGAUAUUAUAUGUGGAUGACAUAUUGCUGAUUGGGAAUGAUACAAAAUUUCUGGAUAGCAUAAAAGGAUAUUUGAAAAAUUAUUUUUCAAUGAAAGACCUCGGUGAAGCUACUUAUAUAUUGGGCAUCAAGAUCUAUAGGGAUAUAUCAAGAUGCUUGAUAGGACUUUCACAACAUACCUUGAUAAAGUUUUGAAGAAGUUCAAAAUGGAUCAGUCAAAGAAAGGGUUCUUGCCUGUGUUACAAGGUGUGAAGUUGAGUUAGACUCAAUACCCGACCACGACAAAAUAUAUAGAGAAUGAAAGUCAUUCCCUAUGCCUCAGUCAUAGGUUCUAUAAAGUAUGCCAUGCUAUGUACCAGACCUAUUGUGUGCCUUGCCAUGGUAUUGGCAAGGAGGUACAUGAGUGAUCCAUGAGUGAAUCACUGGAUAGCGGUCAAAAUUAUCCUUAUAGGAAUAAGGAAAUGUUUCUCUGUUAUGGAGGUGAUAAAGAGUUCGUCAUAAAGGGUUACAUCGAUGCAAGCUUUGACACUAAUCCAGAUGACUCUGAGUCUCUAUCUGGAUACAUAUUGAAAGUGGGAGCAAUUAGCUAGAGUAGCCCCAUGCAGAGCAUUGUAGACAUAUAAAUUUGCAAAUUAAAUAUUGAUCUGAAUAUGACAGACCCGUUGGCUAAACCUCUCUCACAAGCAAAACAUGAUCACACCUUAGUACUCUUUGGGUAUUAAUCACAUGUCGAUGUGAACUAGAUUAUUGACUCUAGUAAACUCUUUGGGUGUUGGUCACAUGGCGAUGUGAACUAUGGGUGUUAAAUCACAUGGUGAUGUGAACUAGAUUAUUGGCUCUAGUGCAAGUGGGAGACUAAAGGAAAUAUGCCCUAGAGGCAAUAAUAAUGUUGUUAUUUCAUAUUUCCCUAUUCAUGAUAUAGGUUUAUUAUUCAUGCUAGAAUUGUAUUGAUUGGAAACCUUAAUACAUGUGUGAAUACAUAGACAAACAUCGUGUCCCUAGUGAGCCUCUACUAGACUAGCUCGUUGAUCAAAGAUGGUUGAGGUUUCCUAACCAUGGACAUGAGUUGUCUUUGAUAACGGGAUCACAUCAUUAGGAGAAUGAUGUGAUGGACAUGACCCAUCCGUUAGCUUAGCAUAUUGAUCGUUCAGUUUUAUUGCUAUUGCUUUCUUCAUGUCAAAUACAUAUUCCUUCGACUAUGAGAUUAUGCAACUCCCGGACACCGGAGGAAUACCUUGUUGAUACGUCUCCAAUGUAUCUAUAAUUUUUUAUUGUUCCAUGCUGUUAUAUUAUCAAUCUUGGAUGUUUUAUAAUCAUUUUAUACCAUUUUUUGGUAAUAAUCUAUUAACAUAGUGCCAAGUGCCACUUGCUGUUUUCUGCAUGUUUUUUACAUCGCACGAAAUCAAUACCAAACGGAGUCCAAAUGCAACAAAACUUUACGGAGAUUUUUUAGGGACCAGAAGACACCCAAUGGGCCAAGGCAGCGCCUGGGGGUGCUCCGAGGGGAGCACAACCCACCAGUGCGCGCCAGGAGGCCCAGGCGCGCCCAGGUGGGUUGUGCCCACCUCGGGUGCCCCCGGACCGCCUCUUUGCUCUGUAAUACACCAAUAUUCCAGAAACCCUAGGGGAGUCGGCAAAAAUCAAUUCUAGCGCCACAGAGUCCAGAACCACCAGAUCCAAUCUAGACACCAUCACGGAGGGGUUCGCCACUUCCAUUGGUGCCUCUCCGAUGAUGCGUGAGUAGUUCUUUAUGGACCUUCGGGUCUGUAGUUAGUAGCUAGAUGGCUUCCUCUCUCUCAUUUGAUUCUCAAUACAAUAGUCUCUUGGAGAUCCAUAUGAUGUAACUCUUUUUGUGGUGUGUUUGUUGGGAUCAGAUGAACUUUGAGUUUAUGAUCAGAUCUAUCAUUUUAUAUCCAUGAAAGUAAUUUGAGUUUCUUUGAUCUCUUAUAUGCAUGAUUGCUUAUAGCCUCGUAUUUCUUCUCCGAUAUUUGGGUUUUGUUUGGCCAACUUGAUAUAUUUAUCUUACAAUGUGAAGAGGUGCUUUGUAGUGGGUUCGAUCUUACGGUGCUUGAUCCCGGUGACAGAAGGGGAACCGACACGUAUGUAUCGUGGCUACUAAGGAUAAAAUGAUGGGUUCUGUCUCUACAUAGAUAGAUCUUGUCUACAUCAUGUCAUCGUUCUUAUUGCAUGCAUUACUCUGUUUAUCCAUGAACUUAAUACACUAGAUGCAUGCUGGAUAGCGGUCGAUGUGUGGAGUAAUAGUAGUAGAUGCAAGCAGGAGUCGAUCUACUAAUCUUGGAUGUGAUGCCUAUUUAAUGAUCAUUUCCUGGAUAUCGUCAUGAUUAUUUGAAGUUCUAUCAAUUGUCCAACAAUAAUUUGUUUACCCACCAUGUGCUAUUUUUCUCGAGAGAAGCCACUAGUGAAACCUACGGCCCCCGGGUAUCUUUCUCAUAUUAUUUGCCUUUGCGAUCUACUUUUCCUUUGCUUUUAUUUUCAGAUCUAUUAAACCAAAAAUACAAAAAUACCUUGUUGCAUUUUAUUCUUAUUUAUUUUAUUUGGCACUCGAUCUAUCAAUCUACUACAAUUUUAUUCACGUCCGUUUGCCUAUCUUGGGGCGCCGCUACACGAAAGGAAUUGACAACCCCUUUUACACGUCGGGUUGCAAGUAUUUGUUAUUUGUGUGCAGGUGUUAUUUACGUUGUGUUGCCUGGUUCUCCUACUGGUUUGAUAAUCUUGGUUUCAUCACUGAGGGAAAUACCUACCACCGAUGUGCUGCAUCAUCCCUUCCUCUUUGGGGAAAUACCGACAUAGCUUCAAGCCGCCAUCAAAAGGGAAUUUCUAGCGCCGUUGCCGGGGAAGAUCUUCAACAUAUACCAGGUUCCUAAUCAGAAAUCUCAUCUCCUCACAAUUUACAUUAUUUGGAAUUUGCCUCUCGUUUUCCUCUCCCCCACUUAACAAUAAUUGUCAUUUUUAUUCGCCCCUCUUUUAUGUUCGUCGUUUUCUUGUCGGAUCUGUUUUUAGUGCAAUCUUGUUGAGUAGUCAUCAUGACUCAAGAGAACACCAAGUUGUGUGAUUUCUCAAAUACCAACAACAAUGAUUUUAUCGGCACUCCGAUUGCUCCUCCCGCCACUAGUGCGGAGUCUUGUGAUAUUAAUACUGCUUUGCUGAAUCUUGUUAUGAAAUAUCAAUUUUCUGGUACUCCUAAUGAGGAUGCCCCGUUCCAUCUUAAUACAUUCGUGGAAUUAUGCGAUAUGCAAAAGAAAAAAGAUGUGGACAAUGAUGUGGUAAAGAUGAAAUUAUUUCCAUUUUCUUUGCGUGAUUCUACAAAAAAAAUUAUCUUCUUUGGCUCGCAAUAGUAUGGAUUCUUGGCAUAAAUACAAAGAUGCUUUUAUCACUAAGUAUUUUCCGCCUGCAAAAAUCAUUUCCCUUAGAACCCAGAUCAUGAAUUUCAAGCAACUUGAACAUGAGCAUGUUGCACAAUCUUGUGAAAGGAUGAAAAUGAUGCUAAGGAAUUGCCCAACUCAUGGGUUAAAUCUUUGGAUGAUCAAACAAAUUUUUUAUGCGGGGUUUGUUUCUCGUAAUCAUUUAGAUUACGUCGUGGGUGGUACUUUUAUGGAAAUUACUUUGGAUGAAGCCACCAAAUUGCUUCAUAAUAUCAUGGCAAAUUAUUCACAAUGGCAUACCGAAAGAGCUGCUACUAGUAAAAGUUAAUUCGGCUGAAGAAAUUUCUUCUUUGAGUGAAAAAAGUUGAUGCUCUUAUGAAAUUGGUUGCUAGUAAAAGUGCUCCUAUUGAUUUUAAUGAUAUGCCUUUUGAUACAUCUCCGUCGUAUCUACUUUUCUAAACACUUUUGCCCUUGUUUUGGACUCUAACUUGCAUGAUUUGAAUGGAACUAACCCGGACUGACGCUGUUUUCAGCAGAAUUGCCAUGGUGUUAUUUAUGUGCAGAAACAAAAGUUCUCGGAAUGACCUGAAACUCCAUGGAGCGUCUUUUUGGAAAUAAUAAAAAAUACUGGUAAAAGAUCAAGACCAGGGGGCCCACACCCUAGCCAUGAGGGUGGGGGCGCGCCCCCUGGAGCUCCUCCGACCUCAACUCCAACUCUAUAUAUUUGCUUUCGGGGAGAAAAAAAUAAGAGAGAAGGAUUCAUCGCGUUUUACGAUAUGGAGCCGUCUCCAAGCCCUAAAACCUCUCGGGAGGGCUAAUCUGGAGUCCGUUCGGGGCACCGGAGAGGGGAAUCCGUCGCCAUCAUCAUCAUCAACCAUCCUCCAUCACCAAUUUCAUGAUGCUCACCGCCGUGUGUGAGUAAUUCCAUCAUAGGCUUGCUGGACGGUGAUGGGUUGGAUGAGAUUUAUCAUGUAAUCAAGUUAGUUUUGUUAGGGUUUGAUCCCUAGUAUCCACUAUGUUCUGAUAUUGAUGUUGCUAUGACUUUGCUAUGCUUAAUGCUUGUCACUAGGGCCUGAGUGCCAUGAUUUCAGAUCUGAACCUAUUAUGUUUUCAUGAAUAUAUGUGAGUUCUUGAUCCUAUCUUGCAAGUCUAUAGUCACCUACUAUGUGUUAUGAUCUGGCAACCCCGAAGUGACAAUAAUCGGGACCACUCCCGGUGAUGACCGUAGUUUGAGGAGUUCAUGUAUUCACUAUGUGUUAAUGCUUUGGUCCGGUACUCUAUUAAAAGGAGGCCUUAAUAUCCCUUAGUUUCCGCUGGGACCCCACUGCCACGGGAGGGUAGGACAAAAGAUGCCAUGCAAGUUCUUUUCCAUAAGCACGUAUGACUAUAUUCGGAAUACAUGCCUACAUUACAUUGAUGAAUUGGAGCUAGUUCUGUGUCACCCUAGGUUAUGACUAUUACAAGAUGAACCACAUCCGGCAUAAUUCUCUAUCACCGAUCCAUUGCCUACGAGCUUUCCAUAUAUUGUUCUUCGCUUAUUUACUUUUCCGUUGCUAUUGCUAUCAUCACUACAAAAUACCAAAAACACUACUUUUGUUACCGUUACCUUUUGCUAUCAUUACCACUACUAUCAUAUUACUUUGCUACAGAUAUUAAGUUUCCAGGUGUGGUUGAAUUGACAACUCAGCUACUAAUACUUGAGAAUAUUCUUUGGCUCCCCUUGUGUCGAAUCAAUAAAUUUGGGUUGAAUACUCUACCCUCAAAAACUGUUGCGAUCCCCUAUACUUGUGGGUUAUCAAGACUAUUUUCUGGCACCGUUGCCGGGGAACAUAGCUCUAUUCUUUGAGUCACUUGGGAUUUAUAUCUGCUUAUCAUUAUGAAGAACUUGAGAGAUCCAAAAACCAAGAUUUAUCCCUAACUACGAGGGGGUAAGGAAUUGCCAUCUAGCUCUGCACUUGAUUCACCUUCUGUUUUGAGUAAGCUUGCGACACCUAAGCCUGCUUCUGCUAUUCAUUCUGAUAUGUCGCAUGUUAUUGAUGAUGCCACUUCUGCUAUGCAUGAUACUUAUGAUGAAACUACUUCUAUGCUUGAUACUACUGUGCCACUUGGUGAAUUUCUUGAUGAACAACUUGCUAGGGUUACAGAGAAUGAAAUUAUUGAAACUGAUAAUAUUGACGAAAGUGAUGAUGAAGACUCUCCCCCUAAUAAAUAUGAAUUGCCUGUUGUUCCUGAGGGUUAUGUUCUAGAUGAAGAAUCUGCUAGAUCUAUUCUUGCUUGCAACGAUAGAUAUGAUCUAAAGAGGUUAUUAGCUAAAUGGAAGCAGCAAUCCCUUAAUGCUAGAAUGAAACCUGGCCCUGCUUUUGCUACUUCACCUAUCUAUGUUAUUGAUAAGGAUUAUGAAUUCUCUAUUUAUCCUGAUAUAAUUACUUUGGUUGAAUCUGAUCCUUUUUAUGGCUAUGAAUCUGAAACUGUUGUGGCACAUCUUACUAAAUUAAAUGAUAUAGCCACCCUAUUCACUAAUGAUGAGAAAUCUCGCUACCUUUAUAUCCUUAAAAUAUUUCCAUUCUGAUUAAAGGGUGAUGCUAAGAUAUGGUUUAAUUCUUUGGAUCCUGGUUGUGUGCGUAGUCCCCAGGAUAUGAUUUAUUACUUCUCUGCUAAAUAUUUCCCUGCUCAUAAGAAACAAGCUGCUUUGAGGGAUAUAUAUAAUUUUGUGCAAAUUGAAGAACAGAGUCUCCCACAAGCUUGGGGGAGGCUUCUCAAGUUACUUAAUGCUUUGCAUGAUCAUCCUCUUAAGAAAAAUGAAAUACUUGAUAUCUUUUAUAAUGGACUAAAUGAUGCUUCCAGAGAUUACCUGGAUAGUUGUGCUGGUUCUGUUUUUAGGGAAAGAACACCGGAUGAAGCUGAAAUUCUAUUGAAUAAUAUGUUGACAAAUGAAAAUAAUUGGACACUUCCUGAGCCAGCUCCUAAGCCUAUUCCUAAACCAACUCCGGAGAAAAGAGGUGUUCUAUUUCUCAGUCCUGAAGAUAUGCAAGAGGCAAAGAAAUGCAUGAAAGAAAAGGGUAUUAAAGCUGAAGAUGUUAAGAAUUUGCCUCCUAUAUAAGAAAUAUGUGGUCUUAAUUUAACGCCUACUGAAGAAAUACAUGGUCUUGAUAACCCGAGACAGGUAGUAAAGGUAAACUCUCUCUAUAGAUAUGAUAAAGCUAAAAUCCCAUUUAUUAAGUUUGCUAGCCCAUGCUUAGAUGAGUUUGAUAAAUUUAUGGUUAAGCAAGAAGACUUCAAUGCUUAUUUUGGUAGAGAAUUAAAACGCAGUGCUGGUAUGCUUGAACACUUGGGUGAUUAUAUGGCCAAUGUCAAAGGUGAACUUAAACUUAUUAGCAAACAUGCAUCUAUGGUUACCACUCAAGUAGAACAAGUACUUAAAGCUCAAAAUGAUUUGCUCAAUGGACUAAAUAGUAAGAAUAAUGAUAAUGCAGUUAGAGUUAUGACUAGAGGUGGUAAAAUGACUCAGGAACCUUUGUAUCCUGAAGGCCAUCCUAAGAGAAUUGAGCAAGAUUCUCAGAGAAAUAAUAUAGAUGCACCUAGUUCUUCUAAAAGGAAGAAAAAGAAAAAUGACAGGACUUUGCAUGCUUCUAGUGAACCUAUUGUUGAAACACAUGAGAAUCAAAAUGAUAUUCCUAUUUCUGAUGCUGAAACACAAUCUGGUAAUGAACCUGAAACUAGUGAUAACGUUAAUGAUAAUGUUCAUGAUGAUGCUCAACCUAGUAAUGAUAAUGAUAUAGAAAUUGAACCUGUUGUUGAUCUUGAUAACCCACAAUCAAAGAAUCAACGUUAUGAUAAGUAAGACUUUGUUGCUAGGAAACACGGAAAGGAAAGAGAGCCUUGGGUUCAGAAACACAUGCCUUUUCCUCCCAAACCAUCCAAGAGAAAGGAUGAUGAGGAUUUUGAGAGCUUUGCUGAAAUGAUUAGACCUAUCUUUUUGCGUAUGCGAUUAACUGAUAUGCUUAAAAUGAAUCCUUAUGCUAAGUACAUGAAAGAAAUUGUCACUAAUAAAAGGAAGAUACCGGAAGCUGAAAUUUCCACCAUGCUUGCUAAUUAUACUUUUAAGGGUGGAAUACCAAAGAAACUUGGAGAUCCAGGAGUACCCACUAUACCAUGCUCCAUUAAAAGAAACUAUGUUAAUACUGCUUUAUGUGAUCUUGGAGCCGGUGUUAGUGUUAUGCCUCUCUCUUUAUAUCAUAGACUUGAUUUGAAUAAGUUGACACCUACUAAAAUAUCUUUCCAAAUGGAUGAUAAAUCAACUGCUAUACCUGUCGGUAUUUGUGAGGAUGUGCCUGUUGUGGUUGCAAACGUUACUAUUUUAACGGACUUUGUUAUUCUUGAUAUUCCCGAGGACGAUACUAUGUCUAUUAUUCUUGGAAGACCCUUUUUGAAUAUUGCAGGGGCUGUUAUUGAUUGCAACAAAGGCAAUGUCACUUUUCAUGUUAAUGGUAAUGAGCAUACGGUACACUUUCCGAGGAAACAACCUCAAGUUCAUAGUAUCAACUCUAUUGGAAAAAUUCCAUCGAUUAUUAUUGGAGGUUUUGAAUUUCCUCUACCUACUGUCAAAAAGAAUAUGAUAUUCUUAUUGUUGGGGAUGUGCAUAUCCCCGUUGAGGUAACCUAGUGUUAUUCGAAAAUUCUCUGGUUCCAUGUUAUUCGGAAUGAGUUUGUUAACAAGACUUGAUCAACCUUGUUAAUGGGUUCCUUUUGAUGAUCAUGAGAUGGAUGAAUUUAGAAAACACAACUCCCUGUACCCUCUUUUUACUUUCUGUUAUUUAUAUUAAAUAAAGUAAAAAUAGUAUUUUCUGUCUGUUAUCUGAAUUAUCCGUGACAUUAGACCAACUUAGGCCAAAAGCCUAAGCUUGUGGGAGUACGUAUUUCUCACCGACAUUACAUUCAUGUUCACCCACUCAUUGCUAGAUGUUGGUGCUCAUACUUUUUCAUUGUAUCAUCCAUGCUAGUUUAUUUUCUCUUUUUAUGCUUUCUUCUUGUGUGUUCAAUAAACCUUAAGAAAAACCCAAAAAAAAUUAGUUGUAGCUUUUAGCUAGUUUUAAUUUCCAUGCUUAUAGUAGUAAUUAAAAAAACCAAAAAGAUUUCCUGUUCUGCUUUUGCUUGUUGGGAGCUUUCCCAUGUAAAUAGUUUUAUUUCUUUUCUUUUCUUUGGGGUCGAUAAGAGAAGACCAUGAUUAAAUUGUUGAAGUGGCUCUUAUAUGCAUUAUUGUUGAUUUAACCAAGAGCCCAUAUUGCCUUGUCUUCUCCUGUUUAUUGAAUGCUCGCAGAUUCCAGCUUAGUUCAAUGCACGUGCACCCUUAAUAUUAUUCACAUCGUUCGGUCGUGCAAGUGAAAGGCGAUUAUGACGAUAUAUGAUGGACUGACUGAGAUGAGAAAAACUGGUAUGAACUCGACCUCUCUUGUUUUUGUAAAUAUGAUUAGUUCAUCGUUCCUGAUUCAGCCUAUUAUGAAUAAACAUGUUUGCAAUGACAACUAGAGAUCAUAGUUUCUUGUGCCAUGCUUAAUUAGCUAGGAGCUUAUAAUGGUUUACUUGCGUGCCAACAUGCUAUUAAAAUGGUUGUGAUGUGGUAUGAUAGGGUGGUAUCCUCUUUUGAACGAUUCGAGUGGCUUGACUUGGCACAUGUUCACGCAUGUAGUUGAAACAAAAUCAACAUAGCCUCUAUGAUAUUUCUGUUCAUGGUCCAUUAUAUCCUACUCAUGCUUGCAUUCGGUGUUGAUUAAUUUUAAUGCAUGUUCAUGACUGUUGUCGCUCUCUAGCUGGUCGCUUCCCAGUCUCUUUCUAGCUUUCACCUAUACUAAGCGGAAAUACUGCUUGUGCAUCCAAUCCCAUAAACCCCAAAGUUAUUCCAUAUGAGUCCACCAUACCUACCUAUAUACUGUAUCUACCUGCCGUUCCAAGUAAAUUUGUAUGUGCCAAACUCUAAACCUUCAAAUAAAUAUUAUGUUUUGUAUGCUCAAAUAGCUCAUGUAUCAACUAGGGCUGCCCGUAUCUUCCAUGUUAGGCGGGUUAUUCUCAAGAGGAGUGGACUCCGCUCCUCACUCACGAGAAAAUGGCUGGUCACCGGGAUGCCCAGUCUCAUGCUUUAUGCAAAUCAAAUCAAAAUAAUUGCAAACAAAACUCCCCCUGGGACUCUUGUUAGUUGGAGUCACUCGUUUCGAGCAAGCCAUGGAUUGAUGCUUGUUGGUGGAGGGGGAGUAUAAACUUUACCAUUCUGUUUGGGAACCGCCUAUAAUGUGUGUAGCAUGGAAGAUAUCGCCAUCUCUUGGUUUUUAUGUUGACAAUGAAAGUAUACCGCUCAAAAUAUUAUUCACCUCUAUUUCAAAACCGAGCUCUGGCACCUCUACAAAUCCUUGCUUCCCUCUGCGAAGGGCCUAUCUAUUUACUCUUAUGUUGAGUCAUCAUCCUCUUAUUAAAAAGCACUAGCUGGAGAACACAACUAUCAUUUGCAUUCAUUAUUGUUAGUUUACAUUGAGUAUGACUUGAUUGGAUCUCUUUUACCAUGAAUUACAAUGUCUAGUAAGUCCUUGAUCUUUAAAAGUGCUCUGCAUUUAUGUUUUGCGGUCUUAGAAAGGGCUAGCGAGAUACCAUCUUGUUAUAUCAUAUUAUGAUUAUUUUGAGAAAGUGUUGUCAUCCGAGAUUUAUUAUUAUUGCUUGCUAGUUGAUUAUGCCAUUGAUAUGAGUAAACAUGAGACCUAAGCGUUAUUGUGAAUAUGGUUAGUUCAUAAUCUUUGCUAAAAACUUGAAUGCUGGCUUUACAUAUUUACAACAACAAGAGCAAACAGAGUUUGUAAAAGUUUUUCUUUAUCACUUUCAGUUUGUCAACUGAAUUGCUUGAGGACAAGCAAAGGUUUAAGCUUGGGGGAGUUGAUACGUCUCCGUCGUAUCUACUUUUUCAAACACUUUUGCCCUUGUUUUGGACUCUAACUUGCAUGAUUUGAAUGGAACUAACCCGGACUGACGCUGUUUUCAGCAGAAUUGCCAUGGUGUUAUUUAUGUGCAGAAACAAAAGUUCUCGGAAUGACCAAAAAAUCCACGGAGUGUCUUUUCGGAAAUAAUAAAAAAUACUGGCAAAAGAUCAAGACCAGGGGGCCACACCCUAGCCACGAGGGUGGGGGCGCGCCUGCCCCCCUGGGAGCGCCCCCCUACCUCGUGGGCCCCCUGGAGCUCCUCCGACCUCAACUCCAACUCUAUAUAUUUCCUUUCGGGAAGAAAAAAAAUAAGAGAGAAGGAUUCAUCGCGUUUUACGAUAUGGAGCCGCCGCCAAGCCCUAAAACCUUUCGGGAGGGCUGAUCUGGAGUCCGUUCGGGGCUCCGAAGAGGGGAAUCCGUCGCCAUCGUCAUCAUCAACCAUCCUCCAUCACCAAUUUCAUGAUGCUCACCGCCGUGCGUGAGUAAUUCUGUCGUAGGCUUGCUGGACGGUGAUGGGUUGGAUGAGAUUUAUCAUGUAAUCGAGUUAGUUUUGUUAGGGUUUGAUCCCUAGUAUCCACCAUGUUCUUAGAUUGAUGUUGCUAUGACUUUGCUAUGCUUAAUGCUUGUCACUAGGGCCCGAGUGCCAUGAUUUCAGAUCUGAACCUAUUAUGUUUUCAUGAAUAUAUGUGAGUUCUUGAUCCUAUCUUGCAAGUCUAUAGUCACCUAGUAUGUGUUAUGAUCCGGCAACCCCGAAGUGACAAUAAUUGGGACCACUCCCGGUGAUGACCGUAGUUUGAGGAGUUCAUGUAUUCACUAUGUGUUAAUGCUUUGGUCCGGUACUCUAUUAAAAGGAGGCCUUAAUAUCCCUUAGUUUCCGCUGGGACCCCACUGCCACGGGAGGGUAGGACAAAAGAUGCCAUGCAAGUUCUUUUCCAUAAGCACGUAUGACUAUAUUCGGAAUACAUGCCUACAUUACAUUGAUGAAUUGGAGCUAGUUCUGUGUCACCCUAGGUUAUGACUGUUACAUGAUGAACCGCAUCCAGCAUAAUUCUCUAUCAUCGAUCCAUUGCCUACGAGCUUUCCAUAUAUUGUUCUUCGCUUAUUUACUUUUCCGUUGCUAUUGCUAUCAUCACUACAAAAUACCAAAAACACUACUUUUGUUACUGUUACCUUUUGCUAUCGUUACCACUACUAUCAUUUUACUUUGCUACUAAAUACUUUGCUGCAAUAUUAAGUUUCCAGGUGUGGUUGAAUUGACAACUCAGCUGCUAAUACUUGAGAAUAUUCGUUGGCUCCCCUUGUGCCGAAUCAAUAAAUUUGGGUUAAAUACUCUACCCUUGAAAACGGUUGCGAUCCCCUAUACUUGUGGGUUAUCACCUUUGUCUACUUUGAUUGAGCAAACUAGUGAUGCCGUAGAUGUGAAUUUUAUCUCUCGAAAUAAUUUCAACAACAAUGCUUAUAGAGGUAAUUUUAAUCCUAGGCCUUCUCCUAGUAAUUCCUCUAAUAAUUGUGGUAAUUCCUAUGGAAAUCCUUAUUAUAAUAAUAAUAGGAACACCUUUGAUCUUGAGAAUAAUAUUUAGGAGUUUACCAACACGCAAGAAGUUUUCAACACUACUAUAGAAGAAAAGUUGAAUAAGAUUGAUGAUUUUUCAAGAAGUGUUGGUAGAAUUUCUCAUGAUGUGGAAAAUCUCAACAUGAAAUUUUUUGUGCCUAAGGUUGAGAAAUCAAUUAAAUCUCUUUAUGUUUCUAUGGAUGAAAGUAAGAAAAGAACUGCUAUGCUUAGAGCUAAAAGAGAAUUUUUAGAAAAAGCGUUUUCUAGUGAUUACUUUCGUAAAAGUGAUGAAGAUCUUAAAAUGAUUGGUGUUUCUUCUAUUGAUUCCUUGUUUAGUAAAAUUAAUAUUGAUGAAAAAGGGACAUGAGAAGAGUCAACUUUAGUUAGAAGGCGUCCUGAUAAUUCGAAGGGUGAAAAUCAUGUUGAGAAAAUUAAUAAAAGUGGGUUUGAAGAGGUCAAAACUUUAACUUGUGAUGUGCCCACUCUUUUGGAUCACAAAGACUUUAAUUAUGAUAGUUGCUCUUUGAUUGAUUGUAUUUCUGUAACACCCCGGAUGUAAUUUACCUUAUCUGUAUCCCAACUCUUGCCGUUUCCGGCCUAAGUUAUUUUAUUUUCCUCGGGUUCAGGUUUUUGUCUCCGUGUGUUGUUGCCUUUGUCAUGCAUCUCAUAUCAUGUCAUCUUGUGCAUUGCUUUUGCAUACGCGUUCGUCUCAUGCAUCUGAGCAUUUUCCUCGUUGUCCGUUUUGCAUUCCGGCGCUCCUAUCUCCUCCGGUGGUCCUUUCUACCUCUUUUCGUGUGUGGGGGUUAAACAUUUCCGGAUUGGACCGAGACUUGCCAAGCGGCCUUGGUUUACUACCGGUAGACCGCCUGUCAAGUUUCGUGCCAUUUGGACUUCGUUUGAUACUCCAACGGUUAACCGAGGGACCGAGAAGGCCUUGUUUGUGUUGCAGCCCAACACCCUUCCAUUUUGGCCCAAAAACCACCUAAACCCCUUCUAUCGUCUAGAGAGUUCAAUCACGAUCGCGUGGCUGCAAACCGCUCCUCAUUCUGAGCUUCCUAGCUCCUCCUAUCUAUAAAAAGGCCUCCUCCCCAAAAAUUCCGGAUCAAGUCUACCCUAACCCUAGCUCCCCGCUCCUCUCCGCGCGCCGGACGUGUCCGCCGGCGCCGGACAACGUCCGCCUCCGCCCGCGCCCUCCCAGCUCCUGCCACGUGUCACCGCCUCCUUCCUCCCGCCGCCGGCCAGGGCAGGCCCGCGCCGGGCCCUCCAGGCCCAUCAGGGUGCGCCNNNNNNNNNNNNNNNNNNNNNNNNNNNNNNNNNNNNNNNNNNNNNNNNNNNNNNNNNNNNNNNNNNNNNNNNNNNNNNNNNNNNNNNNNNNNNNNNNNNNNNNNNNNNNNNNNNNNNNNNNNNNNNNNNNNNNNNNNNNNNNNNNNNNNNNNNNNNNNNNNNNNNNNNNNNNNNNNNNNNNNNNNNNNNNNNNNNNNNNNNNNNNNNNNNNNNNNNNNNNNNNNNNNNNNNNNNNNNNNNNNNNNNNNNNNNNNNNNNNNNNNNNNNNNNNNNNNNNNNNNNNNNNNNNNNNNNNNNNNNNNNNNNNNNNNNNNNNNNNNNNNNNNNNNNNNNNNNNNAUGCUACCACCGCCGCCUUCGUCCUCCUCGUCGCCCGGCGAGUCCCUCCACUCCGGCCAAGCUCCGGCGAGCUUCUUCCACUACUCCGGCCACCACCGCGGACAUUUCCGGCGACCUUGGUGUGACAUGAACAGUGCUGCUACAGUAACCACGGGCUGGAUCUGAGAUCUACUCCAGACGGUUGACUUUUCAUCCCCGAACCCUAAUCUUUUUGCAAACUUUGGCAUGCUAUAACUCUGCAUCCGUAGCUCCGAUUUGUGCGUGUAGCAUAUCAAAAUGUUCGUAUCGACGAGUACAUCAUUUCAUCUCAUUGCAUUAUUUUAAUUUGAACUCAUCUUGAUGCCCGAAAUGCUGUUGGAAGAGGGCUAUGUGGUGAAUUUGUCAGAUCUGUUUCAUCAAAUAGUUAUUUGUCAUUUUUUCCAUGAUUAAUGUGUGCAUGAUAUGAUACUGAGCUCUAUAGGUGUUUUGUUAUAUGCCAUGCCAUCUUUACAGAGGUGCUUACCAUGUAUUUUUGUGAUAUGUGUGGUGACUAGCACAAGCUUGCAAAGUAGUGUAAUCGGUAAUGCUGAUUUCAGGGACUUAGAAUUUCACUAAGUCCUUGUCCUGAUUUUGUUGAUAUGCCAUAUGUUCAUGUUGUUUCCUAGUGAUCCGUGCCUCUUUUGAGGAUGAUCAGUAAGGAUGAUUUGUUAAAAUUGUGGUGCUCUAUCUAUCCAUGUCUUUGUUUGCAUUUAUGGAGCACCCUAGCUUGAGUCAAUCGAGCUCUACUUUUGCUAUAUCGGGAAGCCUAGCAGAUUGUUGACUUGUUAGCGAUUUUGCCAAGGAUGUUGCUAUUGAUCCGUGCAUGGUCUAUUGUUGUUCUUGCCAUUUAUAGGUUCUAUGCCAUGUAUUCUUGAUGGGUGUAUGCUUAGUUUGUCAUGCCAUGCUCUAUAGUGAGUGCAUCGAGCUCGUAAACAUGCCUACUCGUUAAUUGAUUUGCAUGCUCCAGUUUUUCACUAAGUCUGAGAUCUGUUUAUGUUUUUACCAUGUUCACAUGCUUGCAAUUGUAUUUUCUGAUCCCUUUUGGCUCAAGGUCACUAAGGGACUUUUGUUAAGUGCUUUGAGUAGCUUCAUGCCAUGACUUGCUUUGCCAUGUUAAGUUCCUGUAGCAUGUAGUUUUCAUGCUCUAAAGUGUGCUUCCUGAUGAUAAAUUCCAGACUUGUGUUAAUUUCACUGUCUGAAACCUGUUAUUGUUUGCACUUUUGCCAUGCUUGUUUGAACUUGUUAAUGGAUGAAUUAGCCAUAGCUCAGUGUUAAUCGUUUGUGAAGCUUCAUGAGUGGAUCCCUGCCAUGUAUUUUUUUGUCAUGUUUGAGUGUUGUUGCAUAUUUAUCUUGAUGCAUGUAGUUGGUCACUUGCUGUUUAUCGCAGACCGGUGCCAUAUUUGUUUUGCUUGCCAUUUCUAAACCGUGCGUCCGAUUCCGGUGAACUUUAUAUCGAUUUCAACCGAAAUCACCUCACCUUUCCAGUGGCACUCUUGGAUUUCCAUGUUGAGGCCAGGUUCAUUCAUUCGUUUGCAAAUCUUGCAUCUGCAUCGCAUACCGCAUCCCGCAUAUCAUACCAGGUUUGCAUCAUGUUGUUUGAGCAUUGCACGUGGUUGAUUGUGUUAUGUUUGCUUGUUGUCUUGUUGUUCUUGUUUGGGUAGAGCCGGGAGACGAGUUCAUGAACGAGGAGCCCAUUGAGUUCGCUUACGAGGAUCAAGUCAACUCUGACAACCUUGCAGUCAAGAUGAUCAUACCCUCGAAAUCACUUCUAUCUUUGCUUGCUAGAUGCUCGCUCUUUUGCUAUGCCUAUGCUACGAUACCUAACACUUGCUUAUCAUGCCUCCCAAAUUGCCAUGUCAAACCUCUAACUCACCAUGUCCUAGCAAACCAUUGAUUGGCUAUGUUACCGCUUUGCUCAUCCCCUCUUAUAGCGUUGCUAGUUGCAGGUGAAGAUUGGAGAUUGUUCCUUGUUGGAACAUUGUUUAUUGUUGGAAUAUCAUCAUAUUAUCUUGUUAUCUUAAUGCACCUAUAUACUUGGUAAAGGGUGGAAGGCUCGGCCUUUUGCCUAGUGUUUUGUUCCACUCUUGCCGCCCUAGUUUCCGUCAUAUCGGUGUUAUGUUCCCGGAUUUUGCGUUCCUUACACGGUUGGGUUAUAAUGGGAACCCCUUGACAGUUCACCUUGAAUAAAACUCCUCCAGCAAUGCCCAACCUUGGUUCUACCAUUUGCCACCUAGCCUCUUUUUCCCUUGGGUUUCCGGAGCCCAAGGGUCAUCUUUAUUUAAACCCCCCCCCCCGGGCCAGUGCUCCUCUGAGUGUAGGUCCAAACUAGAGCUCUGUGCAGUGCCCCCUCGGGGAAACUCGAGGUUUGGUUUUAGUUGUAUGGAGCGCUCAUCUGAGUGUGCCCUGAGAACAAGAUAUGUGCAGCUCCUAUCGGGAUUUGUCGGCACAUUCGGGCAGUGUCGUUGGACUUGUUUUACCAUUGUCGAGGAUGUCUUGUAAAACCGGGAUGCCGAGUCUGAUCAGAAUGUCUCGGGAGAAGGAAUAUCCUUCGUUGACCAUGAGAGCUUGUGAUGGGCUAAGUUGGGACUCCCCUGGAGGGAUUUGAACUUUCGAAAGCCGUGCCCGCGGUUAUGGGCAGAUGGGAAUUUGUUAAUGUCUGGUUGUAGAUAACAUGGACCUUAACUUAAUUAAAAUGAAUCAAACGCGUGUGUAACCGUGAUGGUCUCUUCUCGGCGGAGUCCGGGAAGUGAACACGGUGUUGGAGUAAUGCUUGACGUAGGUUGUUCUAGGAUCACUUCUUGAUCAUAGUUGUUCGACCGUGCUUUUGCCUUCUCUUCUCGCUCUCUUUUGCGAACAGGUUAGCCACCAUAUAUGCUAGUCGCUUGCUACAGCUCCACAUAUUACCUUGACUUACCUAUAAGAUUAAAUAGUCUUGAUCGCGAGGUUGCGAGAUUGCUGAGUCCCCGUGACUCACAGUUUACUUCCACAACCAGAUGCAGGGACCGAUGAUACCGUUCCAGACGAUGCGCUUGAGCUCAAGUGCGAGUUCGAUGAAGACUCUCGCCGUUACUAUGUGUCUUUCCCAGAUGAUCAGUAGUGGUGCCCAGUUGGGGCGAUCGGGGACCGUGUCGCAUGUUGGGGUUGAUCUUUAUUUUGGUACCGUAGUCGGACCAUAAGUGUAUUGGAUGAUUGUAAUGUUAUUCAUGUAUUUGUGUGACGUGGCGAGUGUAAGCCAACUAUGUAUCCUUUCCCCUUUUAUAUAUUUACAUGGGUUGUUCUGAAGAUUACCUUACUUGCGACAUUGCUUUUCAAUGCGGUUAUGCCUCUAAGUCAUGCUUCGACACGUAGGAGAUAUAGCCGCAUCGAGGGCAUUACAAGUUGGUAAUCAAAGCCUUCCCCGGCCUUAGGAGCCCCCUGCUUGAUCGAAUCGUUGGCGUUGUUGAGUUUAGAAAAAUGUUUUGAGUCAUUUAGGAUUAUAAAUAUCGGAGAGUUUAGGAAUUCUUUUUACUCCCCAGUCCCUUCAUCGCUCUGGUAAGGCAUCCUGACGUAGAGUUUUGACUCUUCUCUUCUCAAAUUUCACUAAAAAAAUUAGGAUCACGCGGGUAUCUUGGAAUCAUUCCGAUCGAUUUGUGACAAGAACAUUGUUCUUGGUGCCUCCUAUCAUUUAGGGGUUGUGGCAAUGUCCCGGGGAGUUGAGCUCCGAGGUGUUGUCAUCACAAUUUUAUCAUUGAGAUUCUGGAAUACCUGAGUUUCGCCGACAUCGAAAAUCUCUUUUAUGCAGUUGUUGGUGAGAUAACCUCGACGCCACCCAGUACUGGGGCGGGAGUUCGGGAGUAUUGCCAUAACUUGUAUAACGGAUGCUUUUCGAAGGUUGAGGUAGAUGAUUUCCUAAGUUUUUCUCGGUUAUGUGUUGAAGGAUGGAUACAGCUGGAUGUAGGAUUUGCUAGAUUUGGGUGAGAUAUUAUGCUUCCCCUGUAUCCCCAACACCUGAUUGCAUCACUGAAAAGGUUCAGGAGUUUCAUAGGUGGGAAUUCUUGUAGCUCUAGUUCUUCUUCCGCAGAUAUUUGGUUUGGGAUUGGGUAAUCCUCACCAAGUAUUUGUUCUUGUUCCUUACCUUGUUGUUUUUCUUCUACCUCAAUUCUAAGUGGCUUAUCAAUUUAUGGAUAUGUGACCAUUUCAAUUGGAAUGCAUUCGUUCAUUUUGUUCGGAUGAGAAGACUAUAUGUUGCAAUUUCAACCCGUUUGAUUCAGCUUCAAUAUUUGUCUGUCAAUGUGCUAACAGAUGUCAACCUAUUCAGGAUGGCUCCUCCAACGCGCACGACUCCGAAUCCUGAUCCACCACCACCACCUCCACCUCCGGAGGCAUGGCAAGCUGUGAUGGCCACUACCAAUGCAAACACGCAGCUCAUCAUGCAACUUCUUCAAGAGCACAACCAAGGGAACCAGGCUCAUGGCAACAAUCAGAAUCAGUUUGCUACACUCAACCAGUUCCUUGCUAACCAGCCAAAGACCUUCAGCAAUUGUGUUGAGGCAACAGACGCUGAUGAUUGGCUCGUGGACAUAUGCAAGCAUUUCGAGUGCAGUAACGUCAGGCCUGAGGACUUUGUCAAGUUCGCUUCCUUCCAACUCAAAGACCAAGCUGCAGAAUGGUUUUAGCAGUACAGAUUCCAGAGGAGGCCGUGUGAUUACCUGGGAUGAAUUCCGUCAAGACUUCAAAGCUCAUCAUAUUCCUCAGAGCGUGGUUGAAAGCAAGCGUGAGGAAUUCCGCAACCUGAAGCAAGGCUCUAUGUUUGUUUACGAGUACAACAAGAUGUUUUAGAAACUCGCCCGUUUUGCUAAGCUAGACGUCCCGGACGAGAAGAGCAUGAUAUACUAGUUUAGGGGUGGUCUCAAAGAAGAAAUCCAGCUAGCUCUCGUCCUCUUUGAGCCCAAGAGGUACGAUGAGUUUUACAACAUGGCAAUGAAGCAAGAGACUGCUCAACUGAAGUGUGAUGCUUCCAAGAAGCGAAUCAGAGAUGCUACUCCUUCUUCCUCAACUCAAGUGGCUAAGCAGCAGAAGUAUUGGCUUCCUCCUCCUCUGUUCCGUCAGCCUUAUUAGCAGAAGAGCAAAGGUGGCAGUGGAUCUUCCCACCCACCCAACCCUGGCUUUCAGAACAAGACUUCGUCUCAAGCUCCAAGAUCAAGUGCUCCGUAUCACCGUCCGCUCUCGGAGGUCACGUGCAACAAGUGCCAAUAGAAGGGUCACUAUGCCAACAAAUGCUUCAAUCAGAUGCGUCUCCCUCCUCCUCCUCCCGUGAGAUCGGCAAGUACAGCUGUGGUCAAGCAUAACCCCAAGCACACCAAGGUCAAUUUGAUGAAUGCAGCUCAGGCAGAGGACUCGUCAGAUGUCAUCAUGGAUAACCUUCCUGUUAACGAUGUUCUUGCAAAAGUUCUUUUUGACACUGGUGCAUCGCAUUGCUUCAUUUCUAAACCUUUUGCACAAAUUAUGAGUGUGAUUAUCAGCAUUUGCAAAGAUCUUUGCAAAUCGUGUCACCGGGCAAGCAAAUGACAGCUAAUAUCUGCGUCCCGGAUGUUACUAUCAUGUUGGGCGACUACAAAUUUCUAGCUUCUCCUAUUGUUCUGGGCGACUCAGAUAUUGAUCUUAUUCUUGGAAUGGAUUGGCUUUCUAAGCACAAGGCUCAUCUUGAUUGUGCUGCCAGGCAGAUUCAAUUGACUCAUUCGUCUGAGGAUGUAAUUGUCUUUGCCGCUCGUGAUGAUACCAUCCGUCUGUUUUCUCUCAAUGAGAAGGGUGAACUGGAUGCCAUCUCUCAAAUUCCAGUCGUUUGCAAAUAUCAAGACGUCUUUCCAGAAGAGCUUCCAGGAAUGCCUCCGCACCGGCCAGUUGAAUUCGUUAUCGAUCUUGAGCCUGGCACGGAACCUGUUUGCAAACGUCCUUACAAGCUUGGACCUGAAGAGUUGAAGGAGCUGAAGAAGCAACUCGAUAUUCAAGAGCGUAUGGGUCUCAUCCGACCUAGUUCUUCUCCGUGGGGUUGUGGAGUUCUUUUUUUGAAGAAGAAGGAUGGAACAGACCGACUUUGUGUUGACUACCGUCCAUUGAACAAGAAGACUAUAAAGAACAAGUACCCACUUCCCAACAUCAACGAGCUGUUUGAACAAAUCAAAGGUGCUCAAGUAUUCUCCAAGCUUGAUCUCCAUAUGGGCUAUCACCAGAUUCAAAUCCGUGAGCAAGAUAUUCCCACGAUGGCAUUCAGAAUAAGCUAUGGUUCAUAUGAAUACACUGUCAUGUCUUUUGGCCUCGUCAACGCUCCUCCGACUUUCUCUCGCAUGAUGAACUUCAUCUUCAACCCCUACACAAAUGACUUCGUCUUGGUCUACCUCGAUGACAUUUUGGUAUUUUCCAAGAACAAGGAAGAUCAUGCCAAGCACUUGCGUUUGGUGCUUGAUAAGCUCAGAGAACAUCAGUUCUACGCCAAGUUCUCAAAGUUCGAGUUUUGGCUCGAUGAGGUUCUCUAUCUUGGGCAUAUCAUCUCUGCCAAGGGCAUAGUGGUGAAUCCUGAGAAGGUGUCUGCAAUUGUGAAUUGGGAACCACCUCAGAAUGUGAAGCAACUCCGCAUCUUCCUUGGUCUCGCAAGCUAUUAUCGAAGGUUCGUUGAGAACUUUUCAAAGAUCGCGAAGCCGCUUUCCAACCUUCUCCAGAAGCAUGUCAAGUAUGUUUGGUCUCCUGAAUGUGACAUCGCUUUCAACACCUUGAAAGAGAAAUUAGGCACUGCUCUAGUUCUGACUCCUCCUGAUGAAUUCAAACCAUUCGAGGUCUUCUGCGAUGCCUCUCUUCAAGGUCUUGGUGCAGUGUUGAUGCAAGAGAAGAAAGUUGUGGCCUAUACUUCUCGCUAGUUGAAGCCCAACGAGAAGAACAACCCCACUCAUGACCUCGAGUUGGCGGCAGUUGUGCAUGCUCUUUUGAUUUGGAGACAUCUCCUAUUGGGAAGAAAAGUGGACAUCUUCACUGACCACAAGAGUCUCAAGUACAUCUUCACUCAGCCUAAUCUCAACCUCAGGCAGACUCGUUGGGUCGAAAUGAUUCAAGAGUAUAAUCCGAGUAUCGAAUAUACUCCAGGCAAGGCCAAUGUAAUUGCUGACGCAUUGAGCAGGAAGGCUUACUGCAACAGUCUGUUUCCAAGCCUUACCAACCCGAGCUUUGUGAAGCUUUCCGCAAACUCAAUCUGCAAGUUGUUCCUCAAGGUUUCCUUGACAACCUUCAAGUCUCUCCUACUUUGGAAGAUCAGAUUCGCGAGGCCCAACUUCUUGAUGCUAUGGUGAAGAAGGUGAAGAUUGGGAUUGCCAAGAGUCAACCCAAGUACAAGUGCUAUCGCCUUGAUGACAAGGAUACUCUCUUCUUCGAGGAUCGCAUUGUUGUGCCUAAAGGUGACCUUCAUAAAGUCAUUAUGAACGAGGCUCACAAUUCACUCCUCUCCAUCCACCCUGGGAGUACGAAGAUGUACCAGGACCUCAAGCAGGCGUAUUGGUGGACUCGAAUGAAGCGCGAGAUUGCUCAGUUCGUGAAUGAAUGUGAUGUCUCCAGAAGAGUGAAGGCAGAACACCAAUGACCAGCUGGUCUCCUCCAACCUCUUGCCAUUCCAGAAUGGAAGUUUGACCACAUUGAGAUGGACUUCGUGACGGGAUUUCCAAAGUCCAAGCGUGGCAAUGAUGCUAUAUUUGUUGUCAUCGACAAACUCACUAAAGUGGCUCACUUUGUGCCUAUCAAAGAGUCUAUCACGGCAGCUCAAUUGGCAGAGCUUUAUACUUCUCGGAUUGUCUCUCUGCACGACAUUCCGCAGUUGAUUUCUUGAUAUCGUGGCAGCAUCUUUAGCUCCAAGUUUUGGGAUUCUUUUCAGAAGGCCAUGGGCACCAACAUCCGUUUCAGCACAGCUUUUCAUCCUCAAACUAGCGGUCAAGUCGAGCGUGUCAAUCAGAUUCUUGAAGAUAUGCUCAGGGCUUGCGUUAUCUCUUUUGAUAUGAAGUGGGAAGAUUGUCUUCCAUAUGCCGAGUUCUCCUACAACAACAGUUUUCAAGCAAGUUCGGGCAAGGCCCCAUUUGAAAUUCUCUAUGGUAGGAAGUGUCGUACUCCUCUUAACUGGUCAGAGACCGGUGAACGUCAACUUCUUGGAAAUGACUUGAUCACAGAGGCAGAGGAGAUGUGCAAAGUCAUUCAUGAUAACCUCAAAGCAGCGUAAUUGCGCCAGAAGAGCUACUAUGAUAGUAAGCAUCGUGAUUUGGCUUUCGAGAUCGGAGACCAUGUUUACCUCCGCGUCUCUCAAUGAAAGAUACUCGUCUCUUCGGUAUCAAAGGGAAGCUUGCCCCUAGAUACGUGGGUCCUUUCAAGAUCGUUAGCAAGAGAGGCGAUCUCGCCUAUCAACUCGAGCUUCCCUCCAACUUUGCAAAUGUACACGACGUGUUCCAUGUCUCUCAGCUCCGCAAGUGCUUCAAGACCCCUGAUCGCACCGUCAACUUCGAAGACAUUAAUCUCCAAGAAGACCUUUCUUAUCAUGAGCACCCUAUUGCUAUUCUUGAAGAAACUGAGCGCAAGACUCACAAUAAGUCAAUCAAAUUCCUCAAAGUCAAGUGGUCACACCAUUCCGGCCGUGAAGCCACCUGGGAACGCGAGGAUCACCUCCGUUCUGAGUACCCGGCGUUUUUCCAGUCCUAGAUCUCGGGACGAGAUCCUUUCGUAGUGGUGGAGUGUUGUAACACCCCGGAUGUAAUUUACCUUAUCUAUUUCCCAACUCUUGCCGUUUCCGGCCUAAGUUAUUUUAUUUUCCUUCGGUUCGGGUUUUUGUCUUUGUGUGUUGUUGCCUUUGUCAUGCAUCACAUAUCAUGUCAUCUUGUGCAUUGCUUUUGCAUACGCGUUCGUCUCAUGCAUCCGAGCAUUUUCCCCAUUGUCCGUUUUGCAUUCCGGCGCUCCUAUCUCCUCCGGUGGUCCUUUCUACCUCUUUUUGUGUGUGGGGGUUAAACAUUUCCGGAUUGGACCGAGACAUGCCAAGCGGCCUUGCUUUACUACCGGUAGACCGCCUGUCAAGUUUCGUGCCAUUUGGACUUCGUUUGAUACUCCAACGGUUAACCGAGGGACCGAGAAGGCCUCGUUUGUGUUGCAGCCCAACACCCUUCCAUUUUGGCCCAAACCCCACCUAAACCCCUUCUAUCGUCUAGAGCGUUCGAUCAUGAUCACGUGGCCGCAAACCGCUCCUCAUUCUGAGCUUCCUAGCUCCUCCUAUCUAUAAAAAGGCCUCCUCCCCAAAAAUUCCGGAUCAAGUCUACCCUAACCCUAGCUCCCCGCUCCUCUCCGCGCGCCGGACGUGUCCGCCGGUGCCGGACAAUGUCCGCCUCCGCCCGCGCCCUCUCAGCUCCUGCCAUGUGUCACCGCCUCCUCCCUCCCACCGCCGGCCUGGGCAGGCCCGCACCGGGCCCUCCAGGCCCAUCGGGGUGCGCCGCUCGCCUCGGUCACCCCUGACGCCGUUCCUCGCGUCCGGCCGCCGCGUCGCCGACCGCCUCCGCCCCGGCGCGCCUCNNNNNNNNNNNNNNNNNNNNNNNNNNNNNNNNNNNNNNNNNNNNNNNNNNNNNNNNNNNNNNNNNNNNNNNNNNNNNNNNNNNNNNNNNNNNNNNNNNNNNNNNNNNNNNNNNNNNNNNNNNNNNNNNNNNNNNNNNNNNNNNNNNNNNNNNNNNNNNNNNNNNNNNNNNNNNNNNNNAACCGCUGCCUCGUCGCCGGCAGGCGCCGGUCCCUCCGCACUUCGCCGCUGAUGCUACCACCGCCGCCUUCGUCCUCCUCGUCGCCCGGCGAGUCCCUCCACUCCGGCCAAGCUCCGGUGAGCUUCUUCCACUACUCCGGCCACCACCGCGGCCAUUUCCGGCAACCUCGGUGUGAGAUGAAAAGUGCGGCUACAGUAACCACGGGCUGGAUCUGAGAUCUACUCCAGACGGUUGACUUUUCAUCCCCGAACCCUAAUCUUUUUGCAAACUUUGGCAUACUAUAACUCUGCAUCCGUAGCUCCGAUUUGUGCGUGUAGCAUAUCAAAAUGUUCGUAUCGACGAGUACAUCAUUUCAUCUCAUUGCAUUAUUUUAAUUUGAACUCAUCUUGAUGCUCGAAAUGCUGUUGGAAGAGGGCUAUGUGGUGAAUUUGUCAGAUCUGUUUCAUCAAAUAGUUAUUUGUCAUUUUUUCCAUGAUUAAUGUGUGCAUGAUAUGAUCCUGAGCUCUACAGGUGUUUUGUUAUAUGCCAUGCCAUCUUUACAGAGGUGAUUACCAUGUAUUUUUGUGAUAUGUGUGGUGACUAGCAUAAGCUUGCAAAGUAGUGUAAUCGGUAAUGCUGAUUUCAGGGACUUAGAAUUUCACUAAGUCCUUGUCCUGAUUUUGUUGAUAUGCCAUAUGUUCAUGUUGUUUCCUAGUGAUCCGUGCCUCUUUUGAGGAUGAUCAGUAAGGAUGAUUUGUUAAAAUUGUGGUGCUCUAUCCAUCCAUGUCUUUGUUUGCAUUUAUGGAGCACCCUAGCUUGUGUCAAUCGAGCUCUACUUUUGCUAUAUCGGGAAUCCUGGAAGAUUGUUGACUUGUUAGUGAUUUUGCCAAAGAUGUUGCUAUUGAUCCGUGCAUGAUCUAUUGUUGUUCUUGCCAUGUAUAGCUUCUAUGCCAUGUAUUCUUGAUGGGUGUAUGCUUAGUUUGUCAUGCCAUGCUCUGUAGUGAGUGCAUCGAGCUUGUAAACAUGCCUCCUCGUUAACUGAUUUGCAUGCUCCAGUUUUUCACUAAGUCUGAGAUCUGUUUAUGUUUUUGCCAUGUUCACAUGCUUGCAAUUGUAUUUUCUGAUCCCUUUUGGCUCAAGGUCACCAAGGGACUUUUGUUAAGUGCUUUGAGUAGCUUCAUGCCAUGCCUUGCUUUGCCAUGUUAAGUUCCUGUAGCAUGUAGUUUUCAUGCUCUAAAGUGUGCUUCCUGAUGAUAAAUUCCAGACUUGUGUUAAUUUCACUGUCUGAAACCUGUUAUUGUUUGCACUUUUGCCAUGCUUGUUUGAACUUGUUAAUGGAUGAAUUAGCCAUAGCUCAGUGUUAAUCGUUUGUGAAGCUUCAUGAGUGGAUCCCGGCCAUGUAUUUUUUUGUCAUGUUUGAGUGUUGUUGCAUAUUUAUCUUGAUGCAUUUAGUUGGUCACUUGCUGUUUAUCGCAGACCGGUGCCAUAUUUGUUUUGCUUGCCAUUUCUAAACCGUGCAUCCGAUUCCGGUGAACUUUAUAUCGAUUUCAACCGAAAUCACCUCACCUUUCCAGUGGCACUCUUGGAUUUCCAUGUUGUGGCUAGGUUCAUUCAUUCGUUUGCAAAUCUUGCAUAUGCAUCGCAUCCCGCAUCCCGCAUAUCAUACCAGGUUUGCAUCAUGUUGUUUGAGCAUUGCACGUGGUUGAUUGUGUUAUGUUUGCUUGUUGUCUUGUUGUUCUUGUUUGGGUAGAGCCGGGAGACGAGUUCAUGAACGAGGAGCCCAUUGAGUUCGCUUACGAGGAUCAAGUCAACUCUGACAACUUUGCAGGCAAGAUGAUCAUACCCUCGAAAUCACUUCUAUCUUUGCUUGCUAGAUGCUCGCUCUUUUGCUAUGCCUAUGCUACGAUACCUACCACUUGAUUAUCAUGCCUCCCAAAUUGCCAUGUCAAACCUCUAACCCACCAUGUCCUAGCAAACCGUUGAUUGGCUAUGUUACCGCUUUGCUCAGCCCCUCUUAUAGCGUUGCUAGUUGCAGGUGAAGAUUGGAGAUCGUUCCUUGUUGGAACAUUGUUUAUUGUUGGGAUAUCAUCAUAUUAUCUUGUUAUCUUAAUGCACCUAUAUACUUGGUAAAGGGUGGAAGGCUCGGCCUUUUGCCUAGUGUUUUGUUCCACUCUUGCCGCCCUAGUUUCCGUCAUAUCGGUGUUAUGUUCCCGGAUUUUGUGUUCCUUACACGGUUGGGUUAUAAUGGGAACCCCUUGAUAGUUCGCCUUGAAUAAAACUCCUCCAGCAAUGCCCAACCUUGGUUUUAGCAUUUGCCACCUAGCCUCUUUUUCCCUUGAGUUUCCGGAGCCCAAGGGUCAUCUUUAUUUAACCCCCCCCCCCCCGGGGCCAGUGCUCCUUUGAGUGUUGGUCCAAACUAGAGCCCUGUGUAGCGCGCCGUCAGGGAAACUCAAGGUUUGGUUUUAGUUGUAUGGAGUGCUCAUCUCAGUGUGCCCUGAGAAUGAGAUAUGUGCAGCUCCUAUCGGGAUUUGUCGGCACAUUCCGGCAGUGUUGCUGGACUUGUUUUACCAUUGUCGAGGAUGUCUUGUAAAACCGGGAUGCCGAGUCUGAUCGGAAUGUCUCAGGAGAAGGAAUAUCCUUCGUUGACCGUGAGAGCUUGUGAUGGGCUAAGUUGGGACUCCCCUGGAGGGAUUUGAACUUUCAAAAGUCAUGCCCGCGGUUAUGGGCAGAUGAGAAUUUGUUAAUGUCUGGUCGUAGAUAACAUGAACCUUAACUUAAUUAAAAUGAAUCAACUGCGUGUCUAACCGUGAUGGUCUCUUCUCGGCGGAGUCCGGGAAGUGAACACGGUGUUGGAGUAAUGCUUGACGUAGGUUGUUCUAGGAUCACUUCUUGAUCAUAGUUGUUCGACCGUGUUUUUGCCUUCUGUUCUCGCUCUCUUUUGCGAACAGGUUAGCCACCAUAUAUGCUAGUCGCUUGCUGCAGCUCCACAUAUUACCUUGCCUUACCUAUAAGCUUAAAUAGUCUUGAUCGCGAGGGUGCGAGAUUGCUGAGUCCCCGUGACUCACAGUUUACUUCCACAACCAGAUGCAGGGACCGAUGAUACCGUUCCGGACGAUGCGCUUGAGCUCAAGUGGGAGUUCGAUGAAGACUCUCGCCGUUACUAUGUGUCUUUCCCAGAUGAUCAGUAGUGGUGCCCAGUUGGGGCGAUCGGGGACCAUGCCGCAUGUUGGGGUUGAUCUUUAUUUUAGUAUCGUAGUUGGACCAUGAGUGUAUUGGAUGAUUUUAAUUUUAUUCAUGUAUUUGUGUGACGUGGCGAGUGUAAGCCAACUAUGUAUCCUUUCCCCUUUUAUAUAUUUACAUGGGUUGUUGUGAAGAUUACCUUACUUGCGACAUUGCUUUCAAUGCGGUUAUGCCUCUAAGUCGUGCUUCGACACGUAGGAGAUAUAGCCGCAUCGAGGGCGUUACAAUUUGUUGCAAUCCAUGAUAAAUUCACCCCAUGCUUAUGAAAAAAUAAAGCUUUUACUAAACAUAUUGUUGAUGCUAUGAUGAAAGCUUUAGAAGAAAAGUUGGAAUUAGAAGUUUCAAUUCCUAGAAAAUUGCAUGAUGAAUGGGAACCCACUAUCAAAGUCAAUAUUAAAAAUUAUGAGUGUUUUGCUUUGUGUGACUUGGGUGCUUGUGUUUCUACAAUUCCGAAAUCUUUAUGUGAUGUGCUUGGUCUUACCGAUUUUGAAGAAUGCUCUUUAAAUUUGCACUUGGCGUAUUCUACUAUUAAAAAGCCUAUGGGAAGAAUUAAUGAUGUUCUUAUUCUUGCAAAUAGGAAUUAUGUGCCUAUAGAUUUUAUUAUUCUUGAUAUUGAUUGCAAUCCAUCUUGUCCAAUUAUUCUUGGUAGACCGUUUUUACGCACUAUCAGUGUCGUGAUUGAUAUGAAAGAAGGCAAUAUUUAGUUCCAACUUCCUUUGAGGAAGGGUAUGUAACAAUUCCCUAGAACAAGAAUUAGGCCACCAUAUGAAUCAAUCAUGAGGGCAUCUUAUGGAUCUCGAAACAAAGAUGACAACACUUAGAUCCUUGCUUUAUGCCUAGCUAAGGGUGUAAAACUAUAGCACUUGUUGGGAGGCACCUCAAUGAAUAAAAUUUAUUUUUGCUUUUUGCUUUCUAUUCUUGAGUGUUUGCACAAUUAUUAUACUGUUAUGAUUGUGUUUUUUGUGUUUUAAUUAGUGUUUGUGCCAAGUAAAGCCUUUAGGAUCUUCUUGGGUGAUAGUUGUUUGAUCUUGCUGAAAAAAACAGAAACUUUUGAGCUCGCGAAAAUAAUUUUCGUUUUUAAUCCGAAAGCGAUAAGAUACCAAUUCCUUCUACAGAAGUUUAAUAUACAAAUUUUCCAGGUCUUCCUAAUUUUUCAGAGUUUUUGGAGUUACAGAAGUAUUCGAAAUAUCCAGAUUGCUAUAGACUGUUCUGUUUUUGACAGAUUCUGUUUUCUUUGCGUUGUGUGCUUGUUUUGAUGGCUCUAUGGUUUUCUUUGAUGAGUUUUUGCCAUAGAAAAGUUGGAAUAUAGUAGAUAUAUUGAAAGAACAAAAUAUGAAUUGGUUUACUACAACACUUAUAGUAGUGAUUUGUUUUCUUAUACUAACGGAUCUCACGAAGGCUUUUGUUGAGUUUUGUGUGAUUGAAGUUUUCAAGUUUUGGGUUAUCUUACGAUGGAUGAAGGAAUAAGGAGUAAGGAGAGCCUCAGCUUGGGGAUGCCCCGACAUCCCAAGCUAUUAUCCAAAAGAGAGCAAACAACUAAGCUUGGGGAUGCCCCGAGUGGCAUCCCCUCAUUCUUCUAACAACCAUCAGUAUUUUACUCGAAGCUAUUAUAACAUCCCAAAUUUUCAAUUUGGAAUGUUAUACAUAGGUCAUUCAUGCAUAUCAUAUUUUAUCGCAUUUUGUUUCGCGAUCCUCGAAAUUCUAAGCAACUCAAGGACCCAUGGAGAGAGUUGGGAAUUUUGUUAUUUUCAUAUUUGUGUUUUCUCAAAUUUUGAAAAAAAGGAUCAUUUGGUUUUAAUUAUUUUUCCUCUCCGAAAAUAUUUCUAAUUAAAAUAUAUGAGAGGAGAUAGUAUGACUUCUCCAAAAUAAAGGAAAUAUUAGAGGAAAAAUAUUAAAAUAAAAUAGGAUAUUUUAUUUGGAUUUUAUUGCAAUUUUAUUUGAAUUAGGAAAAAUGCAUUUUUCAAAAUUGCAUUAUAGGUCUAAAUAAAUGUUCACUUUGUCCGCAAUAUUAUUAGGGGACCGUGAAAAUUUAUUUCAGGAUUUUUGGAGUCCGUUUAGUAUUUAUUUUACUUGUUUUUUUUUGCGUCAGGAUUUAUCUUUAAAAAAAUGAACCGACCUACCGGGCCGUGUCCGGCUAGGACUCCUGGCCCGGCUGGCUUUAUAAGCUGAGGCCCGCGACCCCCCGAGGCCCAAGUCGCGCCGCCGCCUGCCCUAACCCUAGCGCCGCCCGCCCGAUCCGCCGCUGUCCGCCUCGCCGCCUCGCCGCACCGCCGCCGGAGCCCCUCGACGUCGCGCCGCCCCGCCGGAAUCUCGUCGGAAGUAACCGCCGCCGCCGCCGGUUUUCGCGAGAAAACCAUUCAGUUUUUUAGAAACCCUAGUUCUGUUUUUUUAGUAUAGAUCGGUUUUGUUCGGUUUUUCUUCGGUUUAGUUAAAUAUCGGACGUUCGUCCAUACGUUCGUUUUAACGAACGUCGUUCAUCCGUUAGCCGCAGACAGCGAACGUCCGUUCGUUAGCCUGUGCGUCACUUUUCUUUUUCCAGGGGUUUUCCGCGAUUAUUUUCGAUCGCGAUUUCUGCCCUAAUCUUCGAUCUAGUAUAUCUUUUCGCUCGUUUAUCCAAAUCGGGUGAAACAAGCGCCUAGAUCUUCGUCUCGAAGCCCUGUUUCUGUUUAACCAACUUGAACAAGAUUUUGAUACUGUAAAAUUUGACCUUAGUCCAGAUUAGUAAUCGGAUCUUGUUUCUUUCGUAGUUUGAGUUUCGUUGAUUUGUUUGAUUUGAUUCUUCUUGCAAACCGGAGUUCUUCAGUUGAACUUUCUGGUUAGAUCUUCUUAUUUGAGUUUUACCCAUGCAUCUUUGCUUGAUUGCUUAUGUAUGCUAUUGUUUGUUUGCAAUAGAAUACCCGGAGUGCGAAGCGUGCUACUACGAAUCUCUAGGUUUUGCGGAUCGUCAGCAAGGCAAGUAACACAUUGAUCAUACUCUUUCAUACCCAGUUUUUAUGCAUUAGUUUCAACCCUCACACAUUGCAUGAGUAGGAUCUCUUAACAUGUGGGUUUGGGAAGUAGAUGAUGAGGUAGAACCUAUUACCUGUUUAUUAUCAAACCCUUGGGAGUUACUUCUACGUUAUGCUUAUAUUCCUAUGUUAUGCUCGUAGACGUGGUUUGUGUUUGAGAGUAUCCAAUGACAGAUGUGAGAUUGUUAAUUAAUGGUUCAACUUAAGGUGGCAACUUUAAUACACAUCUGGGUGGAUUGCUUGUGGGCACCUGGGGUUAUACCAGUGUUGUCCUAGGAGGUCCCGGGGUUAUACCAUGUGAUCCUACUAUGGUCCGCCACCCAGUCUCAAAGGGAUCAUAAGAUUAUUCAUGCUUGAAACUUCCGUGUGCAGCCACAAGCUAUUAUGGGCUCUAGCAUAGUGGAGUAAGUUGCAUGACCUCUUCCAGUGGUAGACUAGCAGAUGUAGGGGAUGUAGGUUGGUACGGUCUACCCGGGGUUAGAGAUAAUGCUUCUGAAAAACUGUGUCUCGGUCAUCCGUUUCUCAAACACCAUGUAGUGCGAGAAAUCCAACGGAGGAGAUCGAGUCUUGUGGGGAAAAGUGCGCAAACCUUUGCAGAGUGUACAAACUAAUCAUGGUUAGCCGUGUCCCCGAUUAUGGACAUCUUGAGUAUCUGGUUUUUUAAUUAUCCUAUGGAUCUCAUCACUCUAAUCUAACUUGUUGGGUUGAUAAAUUACUUUUAAUUGGGAUUGAGAUGGGGGUACCAUUCUCAAUGUUAUUUCAACUACCAUGAUAGUUAAAUAAAAUAUAUUCCUUUGUUGUAGGGAAAAAUGGCUUUUCGCAAAAACUUUGUAACCAUAGAGCCUCCACCAGCCAUAUAUGCAUGUAGUGAUAGCAUUUAUUUGUUCAUUGCUCUAAUGUGUUACAUUGCCAGCAUAUUCCAUGUGCUGACCCAUUUUCGGGCUGCAACGUAUUAUGUUGCAGACUUUUCAGACGACGAGUAAGAUGCCAUAGGUCGUUUGUUGUGCACUCAGCUAUGUCGUUGGAGUUGAUGGACUCACUUUAUCUUCCAAGCCUUCCGCUGUUAUCUUAUUUAGAUGGCCUUAAGCCAUAUUUAUUGUAAUAAGUUCUCUUUUGAGACAUUCAAUGUAAUAAGUGUGUGAUUGCCACUCUGUUAUAAAUCCUUCGAGUACUGUGUGUGUCAGCAUUACCGAUCCAGGGAUGACACUCAAGCACAAAGACUUGACCGUUUGAGGUCAGGUCGCUACAGCUAUAUUUUUAUUCAUCACAUACUAUGUGUUUUUCUUGGAGCGUCUUGUAUGAUAAGAGUCUUUUCUUGCUUUAUUUUGUGUUUUAAGUCUUGAUUCCUUGCUGGACACACCUAUUUGAGAGAGCCAAAAUUAUGUCAUGACUUGUUAGAACUGCUCUCUAUGCUUCACUUAAAUUUUUAUGAGCUAUGGACUUGCUCUAUUGCUUCACUUAUAUCUUUUUGAGCACGGUGUGCUUUAGUAUUUUCAAGAAAUUCUCUCUUGCUUCACUUAAAUUAAUUUGAGAAAAAAAUAUGCUCGUGAUCUUCACUUAUAUUUGUUUGAUCUUAUCAAAAGCAACACAUGAAAAUUAGUUCCAAAGUGAUAGAUAUCCAAGAAGGAUAUAAUAAAAACUUUUAUGAAGAUCAUUGGACAAAAUAAGCUUGAUUCUUUGUAAUAGGUUUGUGAUUCCCUAUGCAAGCACGAAAGUCAAUAAUUAUGCUAUGAAAUCCUACUUGUGGUGCAUUGUUCGGUGUUAAUUAUGCUUAAUGCUCGCUUAUGAGAUUAUCUGUUUCAUGGUUGGUCGCUUCUCAAUCUUUUCCUAGCCUUCAUUUUGCACUAAGUAUGAUCACUACUUCUUCAUCCAAAAACCUUUAAACCAGUUUUGCCACAUGAGUCCACUUAUCUACCUAUAUGUGGUAUUCUUUUGCCGUUCUAAGCAAAUUUGUAUGUGCCAUCUCUAAUUUUCAAAAUAAACUUCUCUUUUGUGUGUUUGUACCGCUCAUGGAGCGGUGAGGGGUGGCUAAAGUUUUCCAUGCUAGAUGUGUUAUUCUCAUGGUGAGUGUUUAUUCACUUGUCAUUGCACGAGAGUAAGGCAAAGGUAUUAGGGAUGCCCAGUCCCGAAAUGAAAAAUGAAUUUACUUUAUGUUGUCAACUAAUAAAUUCCUUGGAAAGUGUUGGUAUGGAAGGCACCCUUGGAUACAAUUAUCCAUGGAACGUGAAAGUAUGGUGGAAAAAGGAAUGAACUUUCUUUUCUGUUUAGGAACCGCCUAUGAUAUAUCUAGCAUAGAAAGUGUUGGGAACUCUAAGUCAUUUUCAUUGGUGGGGAAGACACACCUCCCAAAAUGUUUUUAUCUCUAAGUCUUUCGCUUUGAGCUCUGGCACCUCUACAAAUCCCUACUUUCCUCUGCGAAGGGCCUUUCUUUUACUUUAUGCAAUUUUUAUUUUGAAUUUGAGUCUCCAUCUUCUCUUAUAAAGCACCAACUAGGAGGCACUAUGAUCGUACUUGAGCAUUGGUGUAGUUAAUAUGCGAGUGUGUUUCAUGAAUGGAUCAAUGAUUGAGCAUGAUGGGCUAGGGAUAGCUUAUUUUAGCGUUGAUAUUUUGAAAGACAUGAUUUCUUGUUGAUAUGAUUGAGUAUUUAAGUUAUCAUGUCAAAACUAGACUAUUGCUUUGAACAAUAUAAAAGUCCAAAUGUCCAUGCCAUAAAGAAAAGAAAUAUGACAUGACAUGUUAAAUUCCAUUUUUAUCACUUACCUACUCGAGGACGAGCCGGAGUUAAGCUUGGGGAUGCUGAUACAUCUCCAACGUAUCUAUAAUUUUUGAUUGUUCCAUGAUGUUAUAUUAUCAAUCUUGGAUAUUUUAUAAUCAUUUUAUAGUCAUUUUAUAUCAUUUUUCGUACUAACCUAUUGACAUAGUGCCAAGUGCCAGUUGUUGUUUUCUGAUGUUUUUUACAUCGCAGGAAAUCAAUACCAAACGGAGUCCAAAUGCAACAAAACUUUACGGAGAUCUUUUAUGGACCAAAAUACACCCAAUGGGCCAAGGCAGUGCCUAGAGGAUGCUCUGAGGGGAGCACAGCCUACUAGGGCGGGCCAGGAGGCCCAGGCGCGCCCUGAUGGGUUAUGCCCACCUCGGGUGCCCCCCGGACCGCCUCUUUGCUCCAUAAAUACCCCAAAAUUCCAGAAACCCUUGGGGAGUCGACGAAAAUCAAUUCCAGUCACCGUAGAGUCCAGAACCACCAGAUCCAAUCUAGACACCAUGACGGAGGGGUUCACCACUUCCAUUGGUGCCUCUCUGAUGAUGUGUGAGUAGUUCUUUAUAGACCUUCGGGUCCGUAGUUAGUAGCUAGAUGGCUUCCUCUCUCUCGUUUGAUUCUCAAUACAAUGGUCUCUUGGAGAUCCAUAUGAUGUAACACUUUUUGCGGUGUGUUUGUUGGGAUCGAAUGAACUUUGAUCUCCUAUAUGCAUGAUUGCUUAUAGCCUCGUAUUUAUUCUCCAAUAUUUGGGUUUUGUUUGGCCAACUUGAUCUAUUUAUCUUGCAAUGGGAAGAGGUGAUUUGUAGUGGAUUCGAUCUUACGGUGCUUGAUCCCAGUUUCAGAAGGGGAACCAACACGUAUGUAUCGUUGCUACUAAGUUUAAAACGAUGCGGUCUAUCUCUACAUAGAUAGAUCUUGUCUACAUAAUGUCAUUGUUCUUAUUGCAUUACUCUAUUUCUCCAUGAACUUAAUACACUAGAUGCAUGCUGGAUAGCGGUCGAUGUGUGGAGUAAUAGUAGUAGAUGUAGGCAGGAGUCGGUCUACUAAUCUUGGACGUGAUGCCUAUGUAAUGAUCAUUGCCUGGAUAUUGUCAUGAUUAUUUGAAGCUCUAUCAAUUGCCCAACAGUAAUUUGUUUACCCGUCGUUUGCUAUUUUUCUCGAGAGAAGCCACUAGUGAAACCUACGGCCCCCGGGUCUCUUUCUCAUAUUAUUUGCCUUUGCAAUCUACUUUUCCUUUGCUUUUAUUUUCAGAUCUAUUAAACCAAAAAUACAAAAAUACCUUGCUGCGUUUUAUUCUUAUUUAUUAUUUGGCGUUCGAUCUAUCAAUCUACUACAAUUUUAUUCACGUCCAUUUGCCUAUCUUGGGGCGCCGCUACCCGAAAGGGAUUGGCAACCCCUUUUACACGUCGGGUUGCGAGUAUUUGUUAUUUGUGUGCAGGUAUUGUUUAUGUUGUGUUGCUUGGUUCUCCUACUGGUUCGAUAACCUUGGUUUCAUCACUAAGGGAAAUACCUACCGCCGAUGUGCUGCAUCAUCCCUUCCUCUUUAGGGAAAUACCGACGUAGCUUCAAGACACCAUCACUUGUGUGCUAUAAAACGUCACAACGUAACUGGGUGAUUAUAAAGAUGCUCUACAGGUAUCUCCAAAGGUGUUUGUUGGGUCGGCAUAGAUCGAGAUUAGGAUUUGUCACUCCGGGUAUCGGAGAGGUAUCUCUGGCCCUCUCAGUAAUGCACAUCAUAAGAAGCCUUGCAAGCAAAGUGACUAAUGUGUUAGUUACAGGAUGAUGUAUUAUGGAGCGAGUUAAGAGACUUGCCGGUAACGAGAUUGAACUAGGUAUGUAGAUACCGAUGAUCGAAUCUCGGGAAAGUAACAUACCGAUGACAAAGGGAAUAAUGAAUUUUAUCAUAAUGGUUUGACCGAUAAAGAUCUUCGUAGAAUAUGUAGGAGCCAAUAUGAGCAUCCAGGUUCCGCUAUUGGUUAUUAACCGGAGAGGUGUCUCGGUCAUGUCUACAUAGUUCUCGAACCCGUAGGGUCUGCACACUUAAGGUUCGUUGACGAUUUAGUAUUAUAUGAGUUAUGUGAUUUGGUGACCGAAUGUCGUUUGGAGUCCCGGAUGAGAUCACGGACAUGACAAGGAUUCUCUAAAUGGUCGAGAGGUAAAUAUUGAUAUAUAGGACGAUGGUAUUCGGACACCAGAAGUGUUCCAGAUAGUAUCAGGUAUUUAUCAGAGUACUGGGGGGUUACCGGAACCCCCGAGGGAAGAUAUGGAACAUAUGGACCAUAGGAGGGGAGCACGCCAGCCCACAAGGGUGCCCCCCCCAAGGAAGGAGGCCGAGUGGGGAAAGGAAAAAGAGGGGGUUCGCCCCCCCCCCCCUUUCCUUCCCCCUUCCUCUUCCCUUUUCCCUCUCCGGAAAUAUGGAAAAGGGGGCCGAAUUGGGAUAUGACCCCAAGAGGGGGCGCCUAGAACACACACCAACAAUUUUUAGCCGUGUGCGGCGCCCCCUCCAUAGUUUACGCAUCCGUUCAUAUCUUCGUAGUGCUUAGGCGAAGAUCUGCAUGGAUCACUUCACCAUCACCGUCACCACGUAGUCGUGCUGACGGAACUCAUCUUCUUUGUCGACACCUUUGCUGGAUCAAGAGGAUGAGGGACGUCAUCGAGCUAAACAUGUGCAGAACUCGGAGGUGUCAUACGUUCGGUGCUUGAUUGGUCGGAUCUAGAAGAAGUUCAACUACAUCAACCGCGUUGUCAAACGCUUCCGCUCUCGGUCUAUGAGGGUACGUGGACACACUCUCCCCCUAUCAUUGAUAUGAAUCUCCUAGAAAGAUCUUGCGCGAGCGUAGGAUUUUUUUUGAAAUUUCAUGCUACGUUUGCCGACAAUACCUUGGUUCUUAACUAAGGGAAAUACUUAUCUCUACUUUGUUGCAUCACCCUUUCCUCUUCAAGGGAAAAACCAACGCAAGCUCAAGAAGUAGCAGGAAGAAUUUUUGGCGCCGUUGCCUAGGAGAUCUACAUCAAGCCUACCAAGUACCCAUCAUGAACUCUCAUCUCUUGCAUUACAUUAUUCGCCAUUUGCUUCUCGUUUUCCUCUCCCCCACUUCUAAAACGUUAUCAGAAAAAUACAAAAAAAUUGCCUUUUUAUUCGCCCUUCUUUCGUUCAUCUUUUCAUUUGCAUGUGUGCUAGAUCAGUUUGUUGCCACUAUGUCUAAAUCUGGGGAGGUUAUCGUUGAAAAUUUUGAAAAUUCUGCUGGCAUGAACCUUGAGGAAAAAAUUUAAUGUUUGUUCUUUAGAUCAUGAAACUGAAACUCCUCCUAAUUAUAAAGCAAAAACUUUUCAUGUGGGUGAUAGUAAUAUUAUUGGGAAGAGUGUUAUUCAAGAAUUCUUUGAUUGUACGGGAACAAUGCCUAUUAAUAAGAGUCAUAUUCUUCUUGAUACAAAUUGUUAUGCGGAUGCGAUUGUCAUGCUCAUUGACAAAUUAGAGAGAAAAUUUGUGCACAUCCAUCCCGCUUUGCAAAAGGUGUUUUAUGAACUCCCCAAUAUUAAUCAUCCUAAAGCCAAAAAGAUUGCCACUAUUAUCCUUAUGCGGGAAUUUGAUUUUAUAAUACAAGAGGCUAGGGAAAUUUUUGCUUUCUAUAAUAAAGAUAUUGAACAUUCUACUAUUGAAGAAAUCCUCCAUGAUAAAGAAACUUUGUGUAGCUUGGAAUCUCGAGAUUAUCAAUCUUACAAUGACAAUCUUAGGAGGAGAGCUCCCUACUCAGAUAUUACCUAGACUAUCUACCUUGAAACUUAUGAUAAAUUUGAUUGGAUAACUAGGGGUAUUUAUGUAGGAUCUAAUGAUGAUUGGCUAGAAGAGAAGAUUAGGGAACCCUUUAAAAAUGAGAUACGUGUUUUAUAUGAUGAUAUUUAUGGAGAUGAUCCGGACUAUGGGUUUAUGAAUGUCAAGGUUACUAAUCAAAGUCCUUUUCAUUAUUUAAGUUCACCGACUAGGAGGGAAAAAAUAAAUAAAGUAUUUGUUAAAAAGGGUUUUUGAAGAUUUGAUUAAGAAAGAGUUGCAUGACAAUACCUAGAUCUCUGUUUUAUGCCUAGCUAGGGGCGUUAAACAAUAACCCUUGUCAGGAGGCAACCCAAUUUUAUUGUUGUUCUUGCUUUUUUUGUUCUUGUUUUUUAAUAAAUUUAUCAUCUAGCCUCUGGUUAGAUGUGCUUUCAUGUUUUAAUUUAGUGUUUGUGCCAAGUAAGACCUUUCGGAUAGUUUGGAACAUUGUUGAUUUGAUCUUGCUGAAAAACAUAAAUGUUUAUGCCUAGUAAAAUAAUUUUCAUUAAUCACAUAAGCAUGAUAAAAAUCCUAUUUUUUGCAAAAGAUUGAUAUACAAAUUGCCUAGGUUGUCCAAAUGUUUUCAGAAUUUUUGGAGUUACAGAAGUAUUUGAAGUUUGAAGAUUGCUACAGACUGUUAUGUUUUUGACAUAUUCUGUUUUCUAUGUGUUGUUUGCUUAUUUUGAUGAAUCUAUGGGUAGUAUUGGGGGGUAUGAACCAUGGAGAAGUUGGAAUACAGUAGAUAUUACACCAAUAUAAAUAAGGAAUGAGUUCACAAUAGUACCAAAAAGUGGUGAUUUAUUUUCUUAUACUAAUGGUUCUCAUGAGUUUUCUGUUACUUUUGUGUCGUGGAGUUUUUAAGUUUUGGCUAAAGAUUUGAUGGACUAUGGAAUAAGGAGUGGCAAUAGCCUAAGAUUAGGGAUUCCCAAGGCACCCCAAGGUAAUACUUAAGGACAACCAAGCAUCUAAAGUUGGGGAUGCCCCGGAUGGCAUCCCCUCUUUCGUCUUCCUCUAUCGGUAAAUUUACUUGAGGUUGUAUUUUAUUCACCACAUGGUAUGUGUUUUGCUUGGAGCGUCUUGUAUGAUAUGGGUCUUUGCUUUUUAGUUUGCCAUAAUCAUCCUUGUUGUACACACCUUUUUAGAGGGACACGCAUGAAUCGUGAAUUUAUUAGAAUACUCUAUGUGCUUCACUUAUAUUUUUUGAUCUAGGCAAUUUGCUCUAGUGCUUCACUUAUAUCUUUUUAGAGCACGGCGGUGACUUUAUUUUACAGAAAUUGUUGAGCUCUCAUGCUUCACUUAUAUUAUUUUGAGAGUCUCUCUAAACAGCAUGGUAAUUUUCUUUGGUCAUGAAUUUAGUCCUAAUAUGAUGGGCAUCCAAGAGGGAUAUAAUAAAAACUUUUAUAUAAAGAGCAUUGAAUACUAUGAGAAGCUUGAUUCCUUAUGAUUGUUUUGAGAUAUAAAGAUGGUGAUAUUAGAGUCAUGCUACUGAGUAAUUGUUGAUUGGUAGAAAUACUUGUGUUAAAGUUUGUGAUUCCCUUAGCAUGCACGUAUGGUGAGCCGUUAUGUGAUGAAGUUGGAGCAUGCUUUGUAUAUUGAUUGUCUUCCUUAUGAGUGGCGGUCGGGGACGAGCAAACCAAUCUACCCCCCUAGGAGCAUGCAUGUGAGUUCUUUAUAAUUUUUUGUCUUACUUUGUUUCAAUAGCUAAUAAUUUUUUGCAAUAAGUAUGUGAGUUCUUUAUAACUAAUGUUGAGUCCAUGGAUUAUACGCACUCUCACCCUUCCACCAUUGACCGUGCAACUUUCGUCGGUGCAUUAAACCCACCAUUUACCCUUCCUCAAAACAGCCACCAUACCUACCUAUUAUGGCAUUUCCAUAGCCAUUCCGAGAUAUAUUGCCAUGCAACUUCCACCGUCCCGUUUAUUAUGACAUGCACCAUCAUUGUCAUAUUGCUUUACAUGAUCGUAAGAUAGCUAGCAUGAUGUUUUCAUGGCUUGUCCAUUUUUUGAUGUCAUUUGCUACGCUAGAUCAUUGCACAUCCCGGUACACCGCCGGAGGCAUUCAUAUAGAGCCAUAUUUUGUUCUAAGUGUCGAGUUGUAAUUCUUGAGUUGUAAGUAAAUAAAAGUGUGAUGAUCAUCAUUAUUAGAGCAUUGUCCCAUGUGAGGAAAGGAUGAUGGAAGCUAUGAUUACCUCACAAAUUGGGAUGAGUCUCCAUACUUUACAAAAAUAAAAGAGGCCAAAGAAGCCCACCAAAAAAAUUAUAUAAAAGAGAGAAGGGGCAAUGCUACUAUCCUUUUUCCACACUUGUGCUUCAAAGUAGCACCAUGAUCUUCAUUAUAGAGAGUCUCCUAUGUUGUCACUUUCAUAUACUAGUGGGAAUUUUCAUUAUAGAACUUGGCUUGUAUAUUCCAACGAUGGGCUUCCUCAGAUUGCCCUAGGUCUUCGUGAGAAAGUGAGUUGGAUGCACACCCACUUAGUUUCUUUUUGAGCUUUCAUAAACUUAUAGCUCUAGUGCAUCCGUUGCAUGGCAAUCCCUACUCACUCGCAUUGAUAUCUAUUGAUGGGUAUCUCCAUAGCCCGUUAAUAUGCCUAGUUGAUGUGAGACUAUCUCUUUAUUUUUGUCUUCUCCACAACCACCAUAUUCUAUUCCACCUAUAGUGCUAUAUCCAUGGCUCACACUCAUGUAUUUCAUGAAAGUUGAAAAAGUUUGAGAACAUCAAAAGUAUGAAACAAUUGCUUGGCUCAUCAUCGGGGUUGUGCAUGAUUUAAUACUUUGUGUGAUGAAGAUGAAGCAUACCCAGACUAUAUGAUUUUGUAGGGAUAACUUUCUUUUGCCGUGUUAUUUUGAGAAGACAUGAUUGCUUUAUUAGUAUGCUUGAAGUAUUAUUGUUUUUAUGUCAAUAUUAAACUUUUGUUUCAAAUCUUAUGAAUCUGAAUAUUCAUGCCACAAUAAAAAAAUUACAUGGGUAAACAUGUUAGGUAGUUUUCCACAUCAAAAAUUCUAUUUUUAUCAUUUAUCUACUCGAGGACGAGCAGGAAUUAUGCUUGGGGUUGCUUGGUACGUCUCCAAGUAUCUAUAAUUUUUUAUUGUUACAUGCUAUUAUAUUAUAUGUUUUGGAUGUUUUAUAUGCAUUAAUAUGCUAUUUUAUAUUAUUUUUGGGACUUACUUAUCCGCCAUCGUCACCUUCUGUACCCGUGAGAUCCCAUCUAGGGACCUUUUCCGGCACCCUGGAGGAGGGGGAUUCGACCACAGAGGGCGUCUACAUCAACUCUAUUGCCCUUCCGAUGAAGCAUGAGUAGUUUACCACAGAUCUACGGGUCCAUAGCUAGUAGCUAGAUGGCUUCUUCUCUCUCUUUGAUCCUCAAUACCAUGUUCUCCUCGAUGUUCUUGGAGAUCUAUAUGAUGUAAUCUUCUUUUGCGGUGUGUUUAUCGAGAUGCGAUGAAUUGUGGAUUUAUGAUCAAUCUAUCUAUGAAUAUUAUUUGAAUUUUCUCUAAAUUAUUAUAUGCAUGAUUUGAUAUAUUUGUAUUUCUCUUCGAAUUAUCGGUUUGGUUUGGCCAACUAGAUUGGUUUUUCUUGCAAUGGGAGUGGUGCUUUGUUUUGGGUUCAAUCUUACGGUGUCCUCACCCAGUGACAAAGUAGGGGUAGCCAGGCACGUGUUUGUAUUGUUGCCAUCAAGGGUAAAAAGAUGGGGGUUUCAUCAUAUUGCUUGAGUUUAUCCCUCUACAUUAUGUCAUCUUACUUAAGGCGUUACUCCAUUCUUAUGAAUCUAAUACUCUAGAUGCAUGCUGGAUAGUGGUCGAUGUGUGGAGUAAUAGUAGUAGAUGCAGGCAGGAGUCGGUCUACUUGACACGGACGUGAUGCCUAUAUGCAUAAUCAUUGCAUUGGAUAUCGUCAUAACUUUACGCUUUUCCAUCAAUUGCUUGACAGUAAUUUUUUCACCCAUCAUAUUAUUUGCCAACAACAACAACAACAACAACAACAACAACAACAACAACAACAACAACAACAACAACAACAACAACAACAACAACAACAACAACAACACCAGCACCAGCAACAGCAACACCAGCAACAGCAACAACAGCNNNNNNNNNNNNNNNNNNNNNNNNNNNNNNNNNNNNNNNNNNNNNNNNNNNNNNNNNNNNNNNNNNNNNNNNNNNNNNNNNNNNNNNNNNNNNNNNNNNNNNNNNNNNNNNNNNNNNNNNNNNNNNNNNNNNNNNNNNNNNNNNNNNNNNNNNNNNNNNNNNNNNNNNNNNNNNNNNNNNNNNNNNNNNNNNNNNNNNNNNNNNNNNNNNNNNNNNNNNNNNNNNNNNNNNNNNNNNNNNNNNNNNNNNNNNNNNNNNNNNNNNNNNNNNNNNNNNNNNNNNNNNNNNNNNNNNNNNNNNNNNNNNNNNNNNNNNNNNNNNNNNNNNNNNNNNNNNNNNNNNNNNNNNNNNNNNNNNNNNNNNNNNNNNNNNNNNNNNNNNNNNNNNNNNNNNNNNNNNNNNNNNNNNNNNNNNNNNNNNNNNNNNNNNNNNNNNNNNNNNNNNNNNNNNNNNNNNNNNNNNNNNNNNNNNNNNNNNNNNNNNNNNNNNNNNNNNNNNNNNNNNNNNNNNNNNNNNNNNNNNNNNNNNNNNNNNNNNNNNNNNNNNNNNNNNNNNNNNNNNNNNNNNNNNNNNNNNNNNNNNNNNNNNNNNNNNNNNNNNNNNNNNNNNNNNNNNNNNNNNNNNNNNNNNNNNNNNNNNNNNNNNNNNNNNNNNNNNNNNNNNNNNNNNNNNNNNNNNNNNNNNNNNNNNNNNNNNNNNNNNNNNNNNNNNNNNNNNNCAGCAACAACAACAACAACAACAACACCAACAACAACAACAACAACAACAACAACAACAACAACAACAACAACAACAACAACAACAACAACAACAACAACAACAACAACAACAACAACAACAACAACAACAACAACAACAACAACAACAACAACAACAACAACAACAACAACAACAACAACAACAACAACAACAACAACAACAACAACAACAACAACAAUAACAACAACAAGG
rnacentral:lncRNA from 1 species